rnacentral:lncRNA from 1 species
AGUCAAAGCCAAUGAACAAGUAGGCAGUGACAGCUCUUCCUCCUGCUUCUCACUACUGUUGUUGCUUGCUUGCUUUCUUGCUCAUUCCUGCAAAGUCAAGAGUGAGGAACAGGUGAUCAAGGAGGUUGCACCAGUGAAGAGAGUAGCAGACAUAGGUGGCUCUUGUCAUGCAUCCCCUGCCAAGAUGGGAGCCUUCAGCAGGUACCCAACCAUGCCAACUGUUGAUGCCAGCCUUGAUCAUAGUCCUCUGGACCACUUUUUGCAAUAGGCUUGUUUUUUUGGGGGGGGGGUUGGGCAACUUUGCCAUGACCCACUAGUGUCUACUUCUGUGUGUCUUUGUGCCAAUGGCAAAUGGCAGCUGUAGGGGCUUCAGAGCUUGACCAGGGCCAUGGAAGCAGUAAAAGUAAAAGUUUCUUUCAUCCACCCACCCUGUAGUCAUGAUGUCAAGCAUACAAAAUGCAACCCAUACAAUUAGUUUCCUGACAUGCCUAUUUGCCCCUCUGUCUGAGUAGGUGUUAAGUGUGAUUAGCCACAGUCAUCUCUUUAUUUCCUAGUCUCUUCCCCUUUUUGUGUGAAUUUCCCCACUGUCUAGUUUAGAUUGUAAGAUUCUGCAAGAGCACCUCUUUUUUGCCUAGGAAACUCUGUAACAUGACAUGCAUGAUUAUUAUCCUUCAUUAUUAUUGUUGCUAUCAAUAAUAGUAGUAAUAGUGAGCAAUGCACAAUUAUUUACCAUUUCUUGCAUCUACUAUCCAUAACUUCCUUGCCCGCCUGCAAGGUUGCACUAUUGUGGAGAUUUCUGCAGUAUAUAUUGGGGGGGGGGGGAUGCAAUACACCCUCACAGAUAGCCCAUACAUUGCAAUUCUAGAAUUGCUGUAUUGAAUGUGAUUAUACAAGUAUUAUAGGUAGCUACUGGCUACGUGCCAUAACUGGAGCUGUGCAAUUACAAACCCACACCACCCUGCACCAUUUUAUGAAUUUGCUGAUUUUAGUUUCAGAUUUUUUUGGGGGGGGAAUUGUGUUGCCUCUGGGCUCCCAUGCCAUAUGGCCAGCUGUCUUUGCCUGAGAGGUUUGGUAACAUCAAAGCUAUUCCCUUGCUGCAAAAUUAUCACUCUCAGUCACCAAGGCUAGAUUCCCUGUCCCUUCCUCACCCACAUCAAGAUAUACUGUUGUCGAUGAAAAGUCAUUUGUGAGAGUAAAGAAGCCUGAGUGUUCCCAAAAAAGGAGAGCCAGUCUAAGUAAUAUAUCAGGAAGAAUUUAACUAUGACAACACUUCAGAGCUAUCUCUAAUCACUGAACGUUCAGGGAUGGGUGACUUGCCACUUUUAGAAUGUUGUAGACAACAAGACAGGAGGUGCCUGUAAAGAACUGAGAAUGAAUCUAUGACAGAUGUGAGCAAAGAUAAUUAUAAUGCAAAAACAUGUGUUAGGGCAAUGGCUGUACUUAGGCUAUUACUACUGGUAUUGCUAUUAAGAUUUCCUUUGGCAUGAACUGUGGAAGCUUACUUUCAAUGUAAAUAGAUCGUGGACUGUCACCUAGGACUACAGCUUAGAAAUUUGUAAUAGUGUACUCUGGUUAGUACAGUAUUGGCCAUUUUUAACUCACUCAUUCAGUCCGAAGCCCAGAAAUGGCACUCAAAAUUAACUACAAUCACAUAAACCAAAUGAAUAAUAAUGAAAUUUGCCUGUUUUCUGUUGCCAAAACAAUGGAGCUAUUUGUGGUCACCCUCCUCAACAGAAAUGUGAGGGCAGAACUGGGAUGCUGUCCUUCCUUUCCCAUGGCAUGUCAUUACCCAAACCUCUGCUAGUUAGCAAGUGCUGGGUGGGUGCCCAGUGUUCUGUUUUGCUUUUUCAUUGUUAGCACUACUUAUAAUUUGUGCAUAACACCCUCAAGCCUUCAUGCCUGUUUUCUAUUCUAAGCCAGCAGCAGACUGUUCAUUUUCCCUGUCCUAUUCCUGCGUUAGCGUUGUAAACAUGCAGAUCUAGUCUAGUGUUUGCACAAGAGAGCAUUAGGCUUUUCUUCUUGUCUCUGGUUCAUAAAACAUCAUAGUCUUCCUGGCCCUAUGCUAAUCCUUCUUUUGGGGUCCCUUUCACCCUCUGUUCAUCUUCACUAGCUCUCGUCCUCUCUUCAGGCUGAGGCUGAGCCAGCCACAAUCCUAGGAUAUAACAAAACGAUCAUAUUGAGAAGUAAUGCAUAAAAGGCUCCCUUUGCCCAUACCAAAUGAUCUAGCUCCAGCUGCUAUUUUUUUUCCAGGACACAUGUGAAUAUAUCCCCAUUGAGCUUUAAUAUAUGAAAGCUGAGACCCAGGGUUUUUAAAAAAUGACGUUGUACUCAAGCCAACACAGUGCAUAUCAGUAUCAACUUUUCAGUGUGGUAACAGCUUUCCAAAUCAGGCUGAGGCACAGGUCAGUUUGACUUGGAAUUUUAGUAGCACCCUCUGAAAGGACCUUGAUUUGGAGGAACGAGACAUUGUAAAGUAUACCAGUCAAGAGAAUGAGCUCCCUCUUUGUUCCCCUGCUCCAGAAGAUGGAUGCUUUAAUGGACUCUCUCACAUAAAAACAAGCUCUCCCCAAUUCAUGGAACACCACCAGCACACCAGAGUGGGCUCUAGGGUAGCCUUCUCCUUGACAUGUUAGCCUUAUACAUCCAAGUAGUACAGAUGAGGGAGAAAUUGGAUUCAGUUUGCACUUAAAGCCUAAUUUCUCAAAAUCACACUUUCCAAAACAAUAUGAGAACUGAAACAUAGCCAUCCUUUUUAAAAUGUGCACUUACAGUGGUACCUCGGGUUACAUACGCUUCAGGUUACAUACGCUUCAGGUUACACACUCUGCUAACCCAGAAAUAGUGCUUCAGGUUAAGAACUUUGCUUCAGGAUAAGAACAGAAAUCGGGCUCCGGCGGUGUGGCGGCAGCAGGAGGCCCCAUUAGCUAAAGUGGUGCUUCAGGUUAAGAAGAGUUUCAAGUUAAGUACGGACCUCCAGAACGAAUUAAGUACUUAACCUGAGGUACCACUGUAUCUGAAUUUGUAAUGCAGUUCUGCAACCAAUCAAUGUUUACAAAAAUGCGUAUAUAAUGCAAUAUAUUAGGCAAAAUUGCUUGCAAAAAAGUGUGCUUUAGUUGUUGUUUUUUAAAAAAACCCAUACAAAAUGUGUCCAUUUUGCAAAAAACACACACACACACAAAAUGCUGAUGAAUUUUCAUGAGGAUUUUUUUAAAAAAGAAAACUUUCAAAUUGCUGCAGAAAUGUAGAGAACUGAAUUUAGCAUUCAAAAAAUGAGAAACUGAGAGACCCAAAUUGACAGAUUCUUCCAUCUCUACCAAUGAGAUUUGUUGUGAUUGAUUGAUUGAUUGAUUGAUAAAUAAUGUUUGCCUGAUGACAUGUAUAGAUGCUUGAUGGCUAAGGACUUGUGCAAACAUACAACAGACAUGCGCCUUCGACAAAAAGGUGAUUUAUCAUGAGCUCCGGCCCCUAAUUCUCCUGUGUGCUGUCCAUUACCCCAUCAGGUUCUGGCCCUUUGCUUGUUUGGGCUCUUUCCUCUAGGUUCCAUUCAGGUACCAGAAUGUUUACUUUCAUGAAUUUGCAACCACAAUGAAUAUUGAUUAUUUGGAAAUUUGAAUCAUCCUGGGUGCAAAUGCGCUUAUGCUCUUUGUUCUAGGAAGAAUUUUACCAUAUAUUGAUGAUAUGAAGCAUGCAUUGCCACAUCUGAUUGGGUGUCAGCAUCAAGUGCUCCAACACCCCUCCCCCCAUGUUAAAUGUGUGGUACUUACUGUAACAACUUUACAGAGAGUACUGGCAUCCUUUCUCUCUCUCUAAAAAAAGCACUGGUCAACAUGAUCCGAAAUCACACCAUACAUUUAAAUCACUAUGAUACCACUUUAAACAGUCAUGGCUUCCCCUAAAGAAUUCUGGGAGCUGUAGUUUGUUAAGAGUGUUGAGAGUUGUUAGGAGACCCCACAUUCCCCUCAGAGAGUUACAAUUCCAAGGAUGGUUUAACAGCCAAUCCCUCUUCCCAGAAAACUCAGAGUGGGGAACAGGUGUCCCCUAACAAUUCUCAGCACCCUUAACAGACUAUACUUUCCAUGAUGCCUUGUGGAAAGCCAUGAUUGUUUAAAAUGGUAUCAUUGUUGUUAAGUUGUGGGCAAACAUAUCAGACGACACAGCAAUUCUUCAAACAGCUCUUCUUUAUUCAGAUGCCAGAACAGAACUAAGCUGAGGGGCUCAGUUAGCCUGCUUAUAUAGAGCUCCAGAACAAUUGUAACUGUUGCCAUUUUCUAAAACUAUCCAAUCACUGAACGUCACUUUUCGAUCCUUCAUUUGCAUAACUAUCUACAGUAUCCCCCUGCUGGCCCAGGGUGAGAACAUCAGUACGUAACAAUUGUGCUGUAAAUUUAUGGUGUGAAUUGGGUCAUAAUCACAUGGGCAAAAAUUCUCAACUUCACCUUACUGUGUUUCAGUCAUUUGUGCAGAUGCAAGUUGUAUGCGCAUAAAAUGAUGGCAGCUCCCUGCCCCGUGUCCACUUUGAUCCCUUCGUGUUUGGGGCAAAUCAUUUUCUUUUUGUUUGUAUUUUGGACAUUUGCAUAACUCUGCAAAUUCAUUUGCUGAGCCAAUGUGAAUGAUGCCAGAUCUUGAGGAGUAAAACAAUAACAAUAACCAUGUCCACAUAGUCUAUAUGGACAGCCCAUUUUCCCUCACACUAAUGUUUACAGGCAUCAAUAUGUACUUUUGGGGGGGAAAGAUAUUUGAAAGAAGCAAAUAAAUAUUAUUUGCACUGUAUAUAGCACAAACACUUCCCAGAACAAAAACACAGUAACAAGUUAUACAGACAUAGCCCUGGCCACUGUAAAUCUGUCUCUUCUUCUGGUGUUAACUUGGUUCCAAUUGGGGGAUGGGUAGUGCAAUUUAGACAAGGCAGAUGAUCAGUAACAAGAGAGAGCAUGUUAUGUUCCAGACAGUUAUUGGCCCAUGUUAAUCUAUACUAAACCCUUUUUAAACAAGUUGCAAUCAGAAUGAUAUUGCUCUGUUUUAAUUCAUUUUGUAGAUCUCUAAAUACAAUGUCAAGCCUCACAUUUUCUUCAAACUAAUAAUAAAUAAGGGAAAACUAUAUAGGAUGAAAUCCUUGUUGCCGUGACAUUCAUAGGUGUAUUGCCACUGAUUUUACGGAAAUCAAUAUACUAGCACUAACUGAAGGAUCUGUGUGUCUAGCUGUGUUUAAAUCAAUACCAAAUAUUAAGCUGAUUAUUAGAACCAUUUUCCCCCCUUCGUUUUGAGAAAUAUUCAAAUGGGUUAUAAUUUUAGCCCUUUGCUAGCAAUUCCUGCAGUUUAAUGCUAAAUCCUUGUAGCUUUAGCCUUUACUCUACCCAGUCAGGCAGCAAAAUAGGGAAAUCCCAGCAAUUUAAACUUCUGAUGAUCCCUGAGAUUUGAGGAUUUUGUUCCCCACUCAAGCUAGAUGUUGAUAAUGCUUUGGAUUCAGCUCUGCCAAUCACAUCCUUUAUAUCUAGGGAGUACGACAAAAACAGCACAUUAAAAUUUACUUUCCUAGGAGGAAACGAGAGUGAAAGAAAGAAGGAUCAAUUUGCCAGUUUUGCCUUGCUGAGUAUAUAGGUCAAGUAGUUAAAACUUUCCUAUUUACAGAGCUGUUUGUUAUGCUGGGUAAUCAAAUAAGACCCUGCUAUGUACUAAGUCCAAGGGACGCACGGGGCACAUAGCCUGACCUAUACUUGAAGAAUGGUAUGUACUUUGGGAUGCUACUGAAAAGCUAGAAGGUUUCAAAGAAUUGAAAAAAGAGUUUUCAGAUUCUUAGGAAAUGAACAUGGAAGCAGGGCAUGCAGCUGCCGUUCAUGGCAUCUGGCACCUCUAGGGUUACUGAGACACACACCACUCCUUUGACCUUUGGCAAAACAAGUAUUACUGCUACUGACAAAGAGGAAUCUAUGCUUGUGCUGUUAUUGGUUAUUUGCAUUUGAGCUUUCUCAUAUCAAGGCCAAACAUAUUGACAGCAUAUUCCCAGCUCAUUGGAGCCGAAAGGGCAGUUGUUGCUUGCUUUUACAGAAUCAUAAGCUAAAUUAGUUAUCAUUUUCUCUUUGGGCUGUUGGCAUGGAUAUUUUAAAACUUCCUGUGGGGAAGAAACUGUUAGAUCAGAUGCUUGCAUGUGAGUAGCCCAGCCAAUCAGCCUGCAUAAAUUGCAGGUGGAUAUGGGGAUGAUGAGAGGCUACAAGCUUUCAGCCUCUUCCUGACAGCUUAUAAAGGGAAGGUGGUAGAGUACAGAGAAAGAAAAUGGAGUUGGGGGAGAAAUUUAGCCAGGCUUCAGAUUUGCACUAAAAUGCAGUUGAAUUUUCAUGAGGAUUUCUUUUUAAAAUUGAUGUACAAAUUUUAAGAAUUGACCUUAAGACUGGAAAAAGUAAGAAACCAAAACUGACAGAUUCCUUCAUCCAUUGCUGGCAGUGGUAGAUGUGUUGUCUACCUCUUUUCCCCUGAUGAACAUGGCUUCUCUGGUCCAAUGGGAAGGAGGUAAGAGAAUGCAUGCAGCCUGUGCUUCUGAAGGAAGCUCUGAGAGUUGUGGACUCUGGAAACUGUGACCACUUCCGUUAGAAAUCUUGCAGCCCUUUCCUUAAAAAAUAGAAUAAAAAUCUAACACACAUAUCAGUAGAAACAACACUUACUAAUUUGAGGCACAAAUCUACUUGAGAAGACGGUUUCAUUACCAUACUAGUAGGCCUUCUGGUAUUAUUCGUUUAUUUUUAAACUGUACGGUAUACCACCCUUUACCAUUGUUUCCAGGGCAGCGUGCAACAACAAAUAAAAUAGCAUGAAAGAAUUGUAGCUGCAGGAGGUAGGCUUCAAAAGGCUGCAACCGUAUGUAAAUUUACCUAGGAGUAAGCCCCACUGAACUCACUGGAUUUGCUUGUGAGUAGGCAUGCAUGGUAAAAUACUUUAAAAUAUCUAGAAUUUAGUCUCCAUCUGGUACCUAAAUGAUAAUGAUGUGGGUUGGUUGCUGAGGUGAGCAUCCUUAGGGAGGAAGUAAUACAGGUGGGAUAUUACAGCCCCUAAAGCCCUUUCACUGGUCACUUCACCUCCAGUAAUGGGAGCACCUGAAGGAGGGUUUCAACGCCGUUGAAGCAACGGACAACUGCAGACAUGCAUCUAAAGGCACUGUUUUCCCCACAACUUUGGGAGUGAAUUACUCACAUCAUGCAAUGUUCCAUGCUAAGCAACAAGUAUAAGAUAACAAACCACCCCAAAGUGGCCCCACAAAUCCUUUGACAACCAUUGCAGGUUUGGAAAAUCAUACAGAAAGCUGAAAGGGAUUGUAGGCUUAUUUUUAGUCACAUCAAGUCUUUAUCUUUAAACAAAAACAAAAACCUUGUGUUUAUGUGAGAGCACUGAUGAAAAGUGUGGGAGAGCGCAAACACACACACACACAGUUCUUGGCUAAAUAAUGAAAAAUACACUGCUAAAUAAUGAAAAAUAUGCUCACUGGGACAUAAUGGAACAUAAAAAGAAAUGCUGAGUGUCAAAGAUCAAGCUUCUACUGCAGGUCAUCAAAAGUUCAACAGAGUGGAUCAUAUUUCACGUUCCUUGCAGCUGUUCAGAGCUAGUUGCAAUCAAUUGGAAUAUAGUCUGUUUUUAUUCUGGGAUUAUCCCAUAAAAAAUUGCAAUCUUUAGUCACUUAAUCCACCAGAGAGAAAUGUUGAUUUAUAGUGGAAUGAAAUCUUCAAUCCUUUGCACAUGGGGUGUUUUAGAGUUAAAACAACAAUUGAGGUUGAACUGCUGUGCAAUGUUCCUUCCAGCACUCAGAGCUGUUCCUUCCAGCUUCAGUCCAUUCACAGUUUGCAGUGCUGACCUAUUGCAGAUUUAUGAUUGGAAGACAACAAUGAAACUUAAUGUGUUGCACACCUCCCAGAUCACCUGGUUUCCGCAUUGCUACUGAAGCAGAUGGGCUAGUUCUUGGCUCCCCAAGUGUAUGGUUUGGUGGCAGGUUAAAGACCACUGUGGACUGGGAGCAGGACAAGACUGACCAGGCAUUUGAGAGAUUGAGUCCCUUUUCAUGAGUAAACUGUUCAUAUUAUAUAGUGCAGAAUAAAUCCUCCUUGGUGAAUAACAUUUUUCAACUCACAGCUUAACACAGUUUAAAUUAGCAAGGGGCAGCUUGUUGUCUGGACAGACUAGGUUACCAACUUAAUUUGAGCACAUGCACACAUAUCUGGUUACUGGGGAUUUAUCUGGCUAAGUUUUACUUAAGAGCAGACCCAUUAAAUUAAUGAGCAUGACCAAGGUCCAUUAAUUUCAAUUAGUAUAUCCUGAGUAAAACUUAGUUGAAUACAACCCUGUAAUCUUUAAUCAUAUUUGGAUAAUAGCUAUGUUAGGGUUUCAAAUGGAUGUCUCUGUGACCGGAGGUCUAUUCAAACAACAAUAUUCAUGUGGUGAGGGAAAGCCCUUUCUGUCAUGCUAGCUCACCAAAUCUCCAUAACUGAAUUUGUUGUUGUUUAGUCGUUUAGUCAUGUCCUACUCUUCAUGACCCCAUGGACCAGAGCACGCCAGGCACUCCUGUCUUCCACUGCCUCCUGCAGUUUGGUCAGACUCAGCAAAACUGAAUAGCAAUGCCUAUGGCAUUGAACACAAUUCUUACGUUAGGCCUAUAGGGAAGCAAGUGGUCCCUAAGGUCACCUGGUCCUAAUGCAACUAUAGCAUUAAAGGCCAGAACCAGCAUUUAGAACAGAGACCGGAAGCCAAAGGAGCUGACAUAAAGAUAGGUGUUAUAUGCCUUAAGCUGCAAUUGCUGUAUUUUGCAUUAGUGGAAGCUUCCCGCCUGGCUUCUAAGGCUUCCCAAUGUCUAGCAAUAACUAAAUCAUUAAUGACUGAGACCAAGUCCGUCUUCAUCAAGAAAUGCCAAUCCUGAUAAAAGGCACUCCUAACAACUGCAAUCACCUGAGCAUCCAGGGGGAGUGAUGAAUCAAGGAGUACUCCCAAGCCAUAUACCUGCUACUUCCAAAGGGGAGUUCAACCCCAAUCUAGAACAUGUUGACUCGCCUUAUUUAGAUCGCAUCUAUGCUUGACUAGUAGUACUUGCAUCUGGAUUCAGUUUGUUUGUUAAUCCCCACCUGAACUAUAGGAGUUAAUGCAAUUUAAUUUCACAGGGUCAUAUAGUUUCUGUCAGAAUAUUCUUCAGAUCUUGUUAAAAUCCUAUGGCUUCUGAUGGAGGAAAAUUCUACUUUUGAAGCUUACUUACUUGGAAGUAAGAGAGUGCUGAGUUGUGAAUCUGAUACCAGUGUCCCCCAGCUGAUGUCACUAUUUUCCUCACAGAGUCAUUGCAUAACAGUAGAGUGAUUGAGGCUAUCUAAUGAUCAAAUUCUCCAUGCCAUUUCUUUUUAGCAAGGGAAGAAUAUGAUUAGAUGCCUCCAGGUCUUAUCCCUUACUUUUAUAUUAGCUGCUAACAGUGAUGUCCCCAUAGUAUGCAGAAAAGUAAAAUAUGCUGAACAUCUAAUCAGUGCAUUUCUGACUGGUACACACACACACACACACACACACACACACACACACACUACUUGAUACAGGGAACAUUAUAACUUUCUGAAAAGGAUGACACAUGUCACAGUUAUUAGAAACUUUAUUAUGACCAGUUUUGACUACAUUAAAUGCUAUCCUGCCAACUGAGCUGGAAUUCUAGGGCUAUGUUUGCACGCCACGUUAAACCAUAGUUAAACUUGUCAUGGGCACCACAAAAUACCCAUUAAACAGAGGGAAAAAUAGCAGUGCUCAGACCUUUCCUCUCAAAAAAUCCAGGCAAAACAUUAUCCCCAACCUCACUCCACAGACAAAAAGAGCCUGCAGACACACCCAUACCAAAGUGGAGGGGGGCAAUAAAACCUUUAUUUUUUAAACAGAAAUAUUGAUUGGGGCAGUGAGCCUUCGGGAUGUAUCUGAGGGUGAAAUGAUACCCAAGAACAUCAAGUUGGAGACUCCAGGUUUAAUGUGGCCUGAAGAUGAACUUAAAUCCAGCCAGACUGAUCACAGACAUAGUCUGAUGUAUACAGUUCAACAGGACACUACUGGCCACCUUUUCUACAGUGGCUGUGAAACCCUUUGUAGAGGUGAUUCUGUCUUACUAUUGUUCACCAGAGUUAGGGUAUGCCUCUGGGGAAGGGGGCAAACAGUGUACUGUAUUGUGACCACCCCCCUUGGUUGCAAGACAUUUUGUUUUUAACAUCGGAAUGUAUGAACAGCUACAUUACUACAAGUAGACAUCUCUGCAAUACCAUAAAAGAUUAUUUGUUCUCACUUUUGCAAUGAACUAAGUGUCUAAAAAGCAACCGAGAUUACACAGCCUUACUUGCAAAAAAGGAGAGAGACAUUUGAUGAUUGCUGAAAGACAGUUAUAAUUCUGAAGUCGGAAUAGCUUUAGGAACAAAACACCUCAGCACUUUUUCUGCAAAGGUCACUUAAAUCCAUGGGGAAAUUAAUGCUGUAUUAUGUUCCAAGGAUGCUAUGAAGUGAUUUUGUCAUCUACUCUUCUUUUUUUUUAAGUGAAAAAAUCUAAAUUGUCUUCCAGAAGCAAGUUCUCUGGAGACAAGGCUGAUGCUAAUUUUAGUCACUGUGUAAACUAAUGUUCUGUCGUUCAGUUAUUUAAGUUCCAACAUAAAUUUACCUCCCAGUUGCUCCUUUCUACUGAGCUUUUAUCCUAAGGGGCUUACAUUUACAGAUAAAAAAUGAAAGUUUGUAACUGGAAAUACACAUUUAAAAAAUCCUCAUUAUUUGAUCCUUGUACUAUAAAUCAGGAAAUAUCCAUCUCCCUUGGGCCCAUUAGAGGCUUAUUUAAUAUUCAAUGCAUGUGUGGCAAAUGGCUUAUCCCUAGUCGGUGACUCCCAAGAUGGCUUCUAUCUGAAGCCACCAUGAGGCCAGGCACUAAGCCUAGUUCAGGAAUUGCUGUGCUGACAAUCAGCUAGGAUGAAGAUAGCAUAGCCUGGUGAUUAGCUGUUCUUUGUGUGGAAUGCAGCUCCUGAGACAAUAAAAGCAACCCUGGGUUGUGUGACCGGAGCAAUUGAGACAGCGGGUGUACUGGAGAUGGGGCAGUUUCUAGGGCCUGUCUGGCUCCCCUAAAACAAUGUGGAGAGCAAGAGGAGAAAGCCUUGGGAGAGUUUCUGUGAGAAUUUCCACAAUGGCAGAGUUACACUAUGCUCAAGGCCUGUGUGCCCUUUAACUGCCAAGAUUUAUAUAAGCAAGUGUUAAUGUAUACACAAUCCACAAGAAUAAUGAGCUGGUUAUUUUCCUGUCCAGGUGUUCAGGAAUACAGCCUACUGAGCUAGAAUAGUAAAUAUAGAUAAGAACAAUGGGUUUUAAAUAGAGGGCACACUGUUCCUUGCUAUCAGCCCAUGCAAAUAUUGCAGAUAUGUGUGUGUGCGUGUGCGCAUCCAUGCACACUCACCUAGCUUGCACAUGCUCAUUAUUUUGAGGCCUCCUUUACUCAGAAGGGUAGUCCACACCAGAAGCUUCCAUGUGUUAGUAUGAAAACAAACAUAUAGGAUACUUUUUAACAAUCAAAUAGGAAAAUGGGAAACAUACCGUAUUUUUUGCACCAUAACACUCACUUUUUCCUCCUAGAAAGUAAGGGGAAAUGUCUGUGCGUGUUAUGGAGGGAAUGCCUGCGGGUGGCGGGGGGAUCUGCUGCAGUCGUGAGCAGAGGAUCCAUGGUUCCCCUUCCUUCCCUCCUCCGUGGUUACAAAGCAUGGAUCCACAUGGAUCCUCAGGAUUUUUGCAUUGGGCUACUCCAAACUCACUGUCAGAUCACAUGUCUGUGGCCACAGCAUAAACCACAAAAAUCAUAUAUCCACUAUUUCGUUUAGAAUAUUUUUUUUCUUGUUUUCCUCCACUAAAAACUACGUGCGUGUUAUGGUCUGGUGCGUGUUAUAGAGUGAAAAAUACGGUAUAUAAAAGCACCUUAUAUGGGCUACAUACUUUACAUUAAUUAAACUCAAAUCCUUGACCACAGACUCAUCAUCUAAAAGCCAGCUUCAGUGUAAAGGAAAGCAAAACAAUUUUUAAAAACCCUGUGAAAAAUCAGAAUUUUAUAUCUUUAAAAUCAGGCUUCAAUCCUAAAAGCACUUACUGGAGAUUUGGUCCCAUUGAGCUGAAUGUAAUUUACUCUGAAUAAACAUGUUUAAGAUUACUUUGCCAGGCUGUGAUCCUACACACACCUACCUGGGUGUAAGCACCAGUGACGCUUACUUGUGGGUAAACAUUUAUAGGAUUACACGGCCUGUUAUUUCUUGCAAACAGUUUUGAAAGUUGGUUGAAAAACUGCAGAAUCCUUUGUCCUUUGUCCUCUGCCAGCACAAUCCCACAGAAUGCAUGCAGAACUGUUAUUUAAAAAUUCUGUAGUCCUAGGAAAUACCACAACACAGUUAUUACUACUGUACUACUUCUGGCAUUUUCAUAUUGACAUGACUACUUGUCUUGUAGAAGACCUAUAAGCAAUCUAGCCACCCUGACUGUCCACUGGAGGUCACUGGUUCUUUGCAGUGACAGUACUGUUUUGGGGACUGAAUAGAUUGGUUGUAGAAUAGAAUUGUGGACAAUUGGGGCUGUUUCUGUGGGUCCCUUUAACACGUAUCUAUGUAAACCUGUGAGCACUUUGAAGAUGGUGCCCAGCGUUGUGGUGGCUGCUGUUGUAUAGUGUGGUCCCACACUGCAGGGGAUGUAUGUGUGAAUAACAUGAAAUUGUGGGUGGGGGCAAUCUUUCAGCACUUGCCAGGAGGGAUCAAACUACGCACAAGCACACACGUGAAUAGGGUAUGUGAAUAGGACACUUGUUAUAGGAGUAUGAAAAAAGUAGUAUUCAGUGUUCUGAACCUUGGGAAGUUAAGCAUCUGAAGGACGCUGUAGAUAUGAGAAGGAGCCUUUUUCUAGUGGGUGUUUUACAGGCAAGAUGAGCCACUAACCUUUAUGGACAUCUGCAUUCUAUUUUCGUUUGCUUAUGUGUGUCAUUUGAUAGCCAUCUUGGCUGCUCAUUAACUUCAGCUGCUCUGUAGAACAUGACUGAGGAAGUUCCUCCCUGAGGUCUCAGUAAGGGAAAGUUGAAUGGUGGUGUUGGAACUGCAGCCUCAAUACUGAGGUGUUACAAAUUCCAUAUGUGCCGAGUGAAGUUGAAAUAAGAUAGAGUGGACAUUUGUACGCUCACUUUCCAUAUCAAGAUGAUCCAGCGGUAUUAAACUCUUUUUGUUAAUCUGCCCCUUUCAAAUUUCAUUGCAGUCAACAUAGCAGUGCACUUAGGAAACUGAUUUCAAUAUAGUCUGGAUAUACGAAAAAAAUUCUACUAGAUUAUAAUUUGUGGGAGGAGAAAAAGUACUGAAAUUUAGCCGUGAAUCAACUAUGGAAGCGCUAUGCACAUUUUAGGCAGACAUACAGUCUUCUCCACUAAAUCAAGCAUGUGGGAAGCUUAUUAUGAGCACGCAUCAAUGCAGUAAAAUCUCAGUGACCCCUCUUUUUAUAAGUACAUCUUUGAGUGCUUGUACAGAGUAAGUAGAACUACAUCAAGGCUCAGGCCAAUAUGAUGCAGUAGUGCAAUCCUUAGCGGAGAACUGUUGUAUUAAAGCUGCUUUAUGCAAACUAACUUAGCGACCCGAAAGGAGGAUGCAAUCACAAGACAUUGUUGCUUUCACAAAUGUGGUUUUGGAUUAGAGCUGCCAGACACAAGAUGCUUUGUGCUCAGCAAAGAUGGCAGAGGCAUUGUGCUUGAAAGGCAUCUCCUCAAAGUAAUUGAAAAUUACAUGCAGAACGAUUAUAGGUUGGAUGUGUACCAAAGGGUAGGCACCAACAGAAGAAAGCUUUGCAUUGAUUAGAUUCUCUUUAACUUAAGUUGGUUAGAAAUACGAUAUUCUUUUCUUCUGCCUGCCGUUUAAAGCACUUGGCAAUAUUUCCUUGCAACCCAAGGUUCUUCACCAAGAAGACACUUACUACUUGAUUGUCAGAAAAAUGGUUGCUGGGGAAAGCAUGUGUGUACUCACAUGUUGAUUUUAUUGAGACCUUGUAUACAGUGGUACUUCGAUUACAAACACCUCAGGUAACAAACACUUCGGGUUACAGACUCUGCUAACCUGGAAGUAGUACCUUGGGUUAAGAACUUUACCUCAGGAUGAGAACAGAAAUCGUGCGCCAGCGGUGCGGCGGCAGCAGGAGGCCCCAUUAGCUAAAGUGGUACCUCAGGUUAAAAGCAGUUUCAGGUUAAGAACAGACCUCCGGAACGAAUUAAGUUUGUAACCCGAGGUACUACUGUAUUUUCAGUAGAAGACUCUUCCUUGUGGCAACUAUUUUCUGAAAGCAGCAGCUUGAAACCGUCACACUGGGUUUGCUAAAAUAUCUCCUAGGUCCUAGGGCAACUCUUGGGGAACUUUUGCUAGGUUGAAAAUAAAUGCAUGAAUUUCACUUCCAUAACGUGUUUACAUAUGCAUGAAGUGUGUGAUCAUAUCUGCAAUUUUGUUGCCCCUCCAACCUGCCACCAGCGACACGUACCCCCUUUUGUGUGUCUUCCCCCCUCCACCUCCGGCACUUCUAGAAUAUAUCCUUUAACUGUGAUCAUGCUUGCCUGGAUGGAGAGAUGUGUGUGUAUGCCAAGGCGGGAGUCAGGUACAGGCCAGCAAUAACUGACGAGGUGUCAAUGAAGUUAACUCUUUAUUCAAAGAAACAAAACAGCUCAGGCCUCAUGAGCACAGCAACUAUUUCCUAGUACAGUAGUACCUCAGGUUAAGAACUUAAUUCAUUCUGGAGGUCUGUUCUUAACCUGAGAUUGUUCUUAACCUGAGGUGCCACUUUAGCUAAUGGAGCCUCCUGCUGCCACUGCGCAAUUUCUGUUCUCAUCCUGAAGCAAAGUUCUUAACCCGAGGUACUAUUUCUGGGUUAGCAGAGUCUGUAACCUGAAGCGUCUGUAACCCGAGGUACCACUGUACAGUCGUACCUUGGAAGUCGAACGGAAUCCACUCUGGAAGUCUUCUGCAGGAAGCCUCUGCAGCCCGUCGGAAGCUACGGAAGUCGUGUUGGGAUGUUCAGCUUCCAAAAGAAUGUUUGAAAGCCGGAACACUCACUUACGGGUUUUGAUUGUUUAGGAGUUGAUUUGUUUGGGAGCCAAGGCAUUUGAGAUCCAAGGUACGACUGUAUGUCUCUCCCCACUAAGGCAGUUGUGAGGACUGAAGGCCCCCACCUUCCCAUAGCUCUCUAAGUCUCCUCCUCCCCCAGGUUCUUCCCAAGCACCUGAGACUUCUUUGCCUUGUCUGCCUUUGCUCCGCCCUCUUCAUACCUCUUCAUACCUUUCUGGGAAAUCAGGAGGAAGGAGCUGGUCACCACAGGAGGAGAGACUUCUUCAGCAGCCUGCCUCAUCUCUGCCUCUUGCCCCCUCCCUCCAGCCUCCAUUUCUACCUCUGAUUCUGGACUGCCUUCUGCCAUAGCCCCUUCCUACUCACUAAGCCCUGUUUCCUUUUCAUCUUCCAACACCUGCUCCUCCUAGUCUGUUCCCUCUUCUCCUACUGACAACUCAUCUUCGUCCCACCACCAAUCCCAUGGCUCUGGCCUUCUUCUCUUGGGGAUUCUCCAGCUGGUGCCUUCCACCACUCCUCUGCAUCCAGCCAGUCCAUGACAGUGUGUAGAAACCUCUGACUUUUGCAUGGCCCACUGUGAAUGAGCAACAGGCUGAUGAACACUUUCAGUUGUUCCUGCUUUGCUCCACACUCACUGUAACUGAGGGAAACAAACCAUGAGACCUGUUUUAGCGUUAUGUGCAAAACAGCACUCAUGGUUUGUUUCUCCCAAACAAACAAGCACCAAGGCAAGAACAAACCAUGGCUUGCUGCUUGUGGGUUGGAGAGAAACAAACCAUGAAUACUGGUUCACACAUAAUGCUAAGCCAAGGCUUGUGGUUUCCCCCACCUGUAGCUGCAGUGACAGUGAGGACUCACACAGUCUUUCUUUUGCUCUGCAUUUCUAGACACAGGUCUGGGCUUUAAAACUCUGUGUCUGAGAGUGUGUGUGUGUGUGUGUGUGUGUGUGUGUGUGUGUGUUUGUCCCAGCACUUUCCCUGGGAAAACCCACUUUUAUCUGCUGAAUCAGAGCAAACAGAAACAGGGUUUUCAGUGAAUUGCCUUUUGCUCCAAUUCAGUGGUAAGACACUGGUGUCCCUGAGGAAAGCUCCAGGACAAAAGAAAAACCUGCUUGGACCUGUGCCUGCAAAACGUGGUGCAAAAGGAAGUCAGGAUGAGCCCUGACUGAGCAGGGCGUGCCAGCAUGCUGCUUCUUCACAGUAAGCUGUGGUUUAUGUCAUAUUUUGGCUUACUGUGACAUGCAUACCAGUCCACUGAUUUCCCAGCCUGACAGCAGUCAUGUCCUAGCAAAUCAUGACAACUGUGCCUCUCCAGUAAAACAAACAAACAAACAAACAAACAAACAAACAAACAAACAAACAAACACAUUUUUAUUCUAUUCCAGUUAAAGCUAGUUGUGUGACUAGGGAAGUUGCUGAAGUUUGUGAUUACUUGGCUUGGAAUUUGAAUUUGUCCAGCUUGUUAAUGCUCAGCUCUGUUAUAAAUCAAGUGUAAUUUCACCCAGACUUUCUUCCCUGGCUCGGAAUGCAAAAUGAGAUUCUGCACGUGUGAGAUCAGCAUUCAGGCUGCUUUUGCUUGUGCAAAUGUUCUUUCGGUUAGCCCCAUUUGUUGUUGUUGUUUAGUACUAGAGGCUAUGGAGAUGGAACUCAGUCCCAGUUCUGUCUACUCCAAUGGAAAGUAGCUCUCCAGAGGUCUUUCACAGAAUCUGCUACCUGAUCUGUAUACAGAGGUCACACUGUAUGUCAUGUCCAGUUGUGGUCUUUCUGGUGCUAUGCAGGAAAGGAAAAUGAAACUCAAAAUCUUUGGGGUGGGGUGGGGGCUCUUUUUAAGCUAAUGUAAGGGUGCCCUGUUUAAAAUCAAACCAUUUAUGUAAGCAGACCAGCCUUGAUAUAGAUGAACCAUAUGGUUACCUUUUCCUCAUUCUGAUUUUAUUUAAUUUUGUUUUACAUUUAUUUUCCCAUGUGUUGCAGAAGGGCUGAAGCUUUAUGGUUGCCUCUGGGAUCACUAAUAGAGAACAUUUCUCUCUCUCUCAGCUCCCACGUUCAUGAAAAUCAACAGGAGGAGCCACAGUGAUGUGUAUACCAAUGUUUCAUGGCUCCAAAUUCAAAACAUCUCACUCAGAAGUAAGUCCCACUGUUUUCAGUAGGGCUUAUUCCCAGGAGUGUAGGUAUCAGCUCGUUCUGUUAAUCUCUUUGGGUUACAGUCCUUAAGAGAAGACAAUGCGAGCAUGUCAUAGAGCAAGUCUAAUCACUUUUUAAAGCUAUAUCAAGCACUGAAUACUUUAACCUUCAUCUCCCAUCCCCAUCCUUUUCUUUGAAAAUGUCUGUUUUGGGGUCGGGUGGGGGAAAUGUUUGCUUUUAAAUAGUAUUGUUUGCAGCAACUACAAUAUAAAAGUUUUGGCAGCUGUUUUUAACUGUGGGGUUUUGCAGGAGGAGAGAAGUGCACACAGCAUUGUAUUUAUAGGCUUCUGUAGGAUUAAAUACAAUGUGUGGGUGUGUGCAAACAAUAUGAUUGCUGUAGUUUUGUGCUUGAUUUUUUUUUCUUUUUUAACGUUCCUUAUGUAACAAAAACAACUCAAGAAUUAAGUCCGUAUGAACACUAGACUCAUUAAAAAAAAUAAAUCUAUUUGAGCUUCCAUAAAAUUAUUCAUGGUUAUACCCUCUAUACUGUAUUGUGUAUAUUGGAGAGAUUGAGAUGGGGGAAGGUGGCGUUCACACAAGCCACUAUAGGCACAUCUUUUUUAUUAGAAUCUGUUUGCACAGGUGCUGGGUAAUUAUUUUGUGUGUGUAUGUUUUGUACUGUGAGGCUGAAUUGUCCUGAGAGUUGCUGUGGCAUAGUGAAUACAGUGUUGGAUUUCAACCAGAGAGGCUUGUGCUCCAGGCCCAGGAAUGCAGGCUAUUGGGAGCAAAAAAAGCAGAACAAAACCCACACAAAGAGACUGGGAGUGGGUGAAAUCAGGGCCACAACUUACAAUCAUAAGUGGCAUUAGUAUUGGGCAAGGAUCCUGGCUGGAUACUUGGAGGGUGUUGCUGGUCAGCAGAGACCUGCCCCAGUUCAGCCCAAUCUGGUGGGGACUCUCGCCAGAACUUGGGAACCUUGGGCAAAUAUCACUCAGCUUCACAGCAUUGUCACGAUAAUAAAAUGGGGGAAACUCAUCUCUGCCACCCUGAGCUCCUUUGAGGAUGGCAGGAUAUAAAUAAGAAAUAUUUAUUUAGCAGGAAUGGCAUUAGAUGAAGGAACACCAUAACAGACUAAUGCCUAAAGGGACUUUUCCCAUAGUGGUAUCCCAGCUAUAGAACUCCCACCUCUCUGAGUGCAGUGCAGACUCCCUCCAUGUCUAGUGCAGACUUUGUUCGCAUUUAAAAGGUAAAGGUAAAGGGACCCCUGACCAUUUGGUUCAGUCGUUGCCGACUCUGGGGUUGCGGCGCUCAUCUCGCUUUAUCAGUCAAGGGAGCCGGCGUACAGCUUCCGGGUCAUGUGGCCAGCAUGACUAAGCCCCUUCUGGUGAACCAGAGCAGCGCACGGAAGCGCCGUUUACCUUCCCGCUGGAGUGGUACCUAUUUAUCUACUUGCACUUGAUGUGCUUUCGAACUGCUAGGUUGGCAGGUUGUUAUCAUUUAGGCACACGCUAAAAACAUGGUUAUUUGGUAAGGCUUUGGGAAGUAACUGAAUGUUUCAGCUGGAACGGGAUGUUUGGAGUUUAAUUAUGUGCCUUAUCUGUGUGUUUUAUCUGCUUUUCUGUUUUAAUGUUGUAUUUUAACAAGUGUUUUACUGGAUUCUUCACCUAAGAGAUGGACUAUACUUUUAAUAAUAAAGCAAGUGGUGUGGAAUCUGCACUGAUUCCCAUCUGCAGUGAUCUGACUGACAGAAGCAAAUACAGGUGGAUGACGCUUGCAGUGGAUCUGAUCCUUGGGUUUCUGCCAAGAGGACACAUGCACCUUAUCUCCUUCUGCCUCAGCCUAUCUGGAUCAUUUCAUAGCCAGCCUGAAUGUCACAUAGUUCUAAGAUUAUACCCUUCUAGCUGACCUGGAAACAAACAGGCCAGACAGAACUGAUAGAGAAUUAACUGCAUAGCACAGCCAGUUUGGAAAGAAUGCAUUGUUCUGUCACAGUCAGGAGUCCUAGCUGGGAGACAGGGCUCCAGCCAGCUGGGAGCUUGUACUAGGGACAGAGACUAGGGAAUACCAGAUCACGUAUCACUAGCACUAGCUCAGUCAAGCAUAGGUCAUGUUCCAGCAGGGCAAGGUCAAACACAGCAGAGCAUAAGUCCAUAUAAGCAAGGUCUGACAAAUCAGAGGUCAAAGUCCAAAAGGUAAAGAAGCAAGCUAUGUAGCGCCUGGAUAGCUCCAAAUUGUACCUAGGCUGUUCAUCAGACAAGGCAGGCUUAAAUAUUGCUCCAACAACCACUGCGGGUGGCGCUGUGGGUUAAACCACAGAGCCUAGGGCUUGCCGAUCAGAAGGUUGGAGGUUCGAAUCCCUGCGACGGGGUGAGCUCUCAUUGCUCAGUCCCUGCUCCUGCCAACCUAGCAGUUCGAAAGCAUGAAGUGCAAGUAGAUAAAUAGGUACCGCUCCAGCGGGAAGGUAAACAGUGAUUCCAUGCACUGCUCUGGUUUGCCAGAAGCGGCUUAGUCAUGAUGGCCAUGACCCAGAAGCUGUAUGUCGGCUCCCCUGGCCAAUAAAGCGAGAUGAGCCCCACAACCCCAGAGUCGUCUGCAACUGGACCUAAUGGUCAGGGGUCCCUUUACCUUUACCUAUUGCAGCUUGUAAAACAGUGAUUUAAUUGCCCCCCAAACCUCAGGCUUUUAUAUACAUUAUUUACACAAUGAGUCCUGUCUGAUUGGCUGGUUCUGUUUCCCUCCUGGAGCCUGAUUGGUCUUUUCCUGCAGGCCAAUCAGUUGCUGCAUUCUACGAUCCUACCAGCCUAAUAGGUUGAUUGACUUCCUCCUGGAGCCUGAUUGGUCUUCUCCCGCAAGCCAAUCAGUUGUUGCAUUCUAGGAUCCUACUUGCCUAUUGUUCUAGGAUCCAAGCUUAGUACAUAACACUCCCUAAGUGCAGUCACUAAUUAGGAUCAUGCCAAGUGUUCAUAACUGGCUUGUCAUUGAAAGCCCUAUAAAACCUACUAUUCUCUGUUAGGGAUGUCGGAGAAAUCUGCUGUAAGCAGACGGAUACAGAAAUUCCCUUGUUUUGCUAAUACACUUGCUUGUCAGGAUAGAAUUUCUUCUUGCGAAUGCAAGCAGCGUUGUUGUCAAGGGUUUUGUCCCCACACCCUGAAGUCCACAGGUUAUACUUAAUGAUGUAUUGUACUCUUCUUUGGAAUGCCUAAAAAAGAAAUCCCAUGAUACAUCAAAACCCACACAUUGUUCUGUGCACCUAUAUGAUAGACCCAAAACAAACCCUUUUGCUGUGGGCUUUUUUCAGCCAAGGUAUUGAACUGUUUGUCCAGCUUUUCUGUUUUUAACAUGAAAAAAUGUUUUACUUUCCUCCACCAAAAUAGAAAUGGCCUCAGAUGUGUGUGUGUGUGUGGAAUGUGUUGGAAAAUUUCUACACCAGCUCUUAAUCCCAUUAAUGCUCUUGCUGAUUUUAUACUACUCAUGUUUUUAAAGUUGGUUUUAUCCUGGUUUUUUGGUUGAUUGUAAUUUACUUCUAAACAAAGUGUACUUCCCCACCCCACCUUGUAUUGUAACCCCCUCCCCCUUGGAUAUUCUACAGGCAAGGAUAUACUUUAAAAUAAGGAAUGAGUAAAUUGCAGGGUAGUGAUAGCCUGCAAUAGAAUACCAUGAUUUCAAAAAUGAACUUGCACUCUGGGUUUUGCCUAGCUGUGGGAACUUUAUACAUAAUCAUAAACACCUAUAGUUCUGACAAUACCAUGGUGAUGUUCCUUCAGUUAUGCAUUCUUCUAAAAUUAAUAUAUUUUUAAUUGUGUACCUCUCUAUAUAGUGUAACUCUGCUUCGCUAGAGGCACCUUAGCUGCUGACCAUAUUCAGUAGUACAGGGAUAACUGUCAGGAGAAUCUCUGAUGCCAUUCAUGUUGUGAUAUCACUCAUCCAUUACUAGUGCCUUCAACAACCCAGUAUUUUCUGAUAGUAUCAAGAAGCUGCCUCCGGUGAAAAAUAUUGGCUUGUUGUACCAGAAUGCCUUGUAAAAAACCAUCAGCACUGCAGAAGGCAAUUCACUCAUUUGCAACAGAAAACUCCAGUUGUUACCCUGGCAACCAACCAAUGAAUUAGUCAGCAUUAUAAUUAUGAACACACCAUUUUUUAGCAGUUUCAGUAGCACUUUAACAGGGUUUUUCUCUUACUAUUAUUUUUGUAAGAUAUAAAGUAGAAACAAAAAAGAGAAAGGGGAUUACAGAAUUUAUACAAUAUUUAGUAUACCCUAAUAUACUCAUUUGUAUGUUUUUUAAUCCUGUUCCGGUAUAGUCACAAAAGGUCUCCAGUUGUCCUUAAGUGAGAACUGUGUAUUUUAAAAAUAAUUAUCAAAGUCUGCCAUACACAAGCCUAGGCAGUGUGUAUAGAGGUCCUCCUGGCCGCCCAGAUGACAAGAUCCCUCUCUUGGCCUCCAUGUUGUGGUCCAAAGGAAAGCAGAGCAAAACAUUUUGGCACCAGCUUAGCUGCAAGAGUUGCUAGAAGGAGGUGUACAACCAUAUUAAAACUGCAGAAUCUCCUUCAGUCUAGAUGAGCUUCUAACCUUUCCUUAUCAGCUAAAUGCCAGAUGCUGAGUCGAAACAGGUUCUCUUCCAGCACCUGUCUUUCAAUUAAAAUCUGUGGCUUUUAAGCCCAAGUAAAAGUAAAGCAGAUAAAACAGAUAUUGCCUGUAUGUUGCAACUAAUAUUGACAGCUGAGCCAACUGACUUUAAAACUAUUCAAAAUAAAAACAAAUUAAAACAGAUGAGGAACUCGAGGACAAGCAGCCUUACUCAUUGCCAUCUUCAACUGGAAGUCUUGUUAUUGUGGCCUAUGGGGCUCAUGGUAAUCAUGGUCCAAAACAUUUAGGGAGCACCCAGCUGGCGAAAUUGCACAAAGUAGCAUAUGGUGCAAAACUAAGGCAGAAUAGCCUAUCCUUUCUAAAUUGGUUUAAAAUUCAAACAUAAAAAUGUUUCAAUGGCCCUCCUGAUGUGUAUUGUUCAAUCCCCAAACAUGCAGUGAAAGUUACAGAAUCUUUUUGCCAGCUUUUGUUUUGGCACACUAGCAGGGGGAAAAUCCCAGCUGAAUCUGCAAGGCCACCACUGUUGAACAAGUGACUACUGGCAGCAUAUUUUUAGAUGAGCUAUGGUUCUCUGUGUUUUUUUUUUCAAAGAUCCCGGUUAUUUGAAAUGAUUUAAGCUGUGGGAUAUGGUGCUGUCCUACCAAUAUUUAUACUUUGUUCAUAUAAGUCUGAGCUACCAGAUUUACUACUUGCAAAGCAUAUCCAAGUGUAUUUUUGGUUUAACACAUGGGGAGAUGUUCUGCAACAAGACUGUCUGGCCAUGCAGCAAGAACUAGUAUGCAAGCUAUAUGGAGCUAUGUAAUGAAAACCAUUAGGCUGGAUGCCGUCCAUGAGCCUAGUCCAGUUCUCUAGUGCAUAAUGAGACCAAGAUGCAGGUCCAGUCAUAAAUCUGUCUGCUUCUUAACAGUGAAAUAUAUUGUUUUUAUAAAGUUUUUAUGGCUGAAUGUGCAGUUGUGUGAAUCUUUCGCUUUGACUGCUUCUUUAAUGAAAAGCAGCAUUGGAUGCUAAAACCAAGACCAGGAAGAGAAGGGAAGUUGCUCAACCCUUUUUUCACUUGUCUAUUCCCCCCACAGCUCUUUUUCUUUCCACGUAGGAAAAGAUAUGAGAACCCUGUGUCUUUUCCCUUGUGGCUGGUAAAGCAGCACGAAGCAGCAUGAUUUUGAGUGAAGUGGCAAAAGCCCUUAAAAAGGGCAAAGAACAGGCAAAUGAGGGAUAUUGCCCAGGAAGUGAGUGUUGCCAAGCGAGAGCCCCAAGGACCAGAUAGAGGGGCCUGGAGGGCUGCCUCGUGCCCCUGACCCUGAGACUAUUGUGAUGUUUAGCAGCAAUAUUUCUAAUAAAUUAAUCACAUAAGUUUGUUGCAGAGCCCAGUUCAAAGUGCUAGUUGUCACGUUUAAAACCCUAAACAGCUUAGGGUUAUCUGAAGGCCCACUUCCCGCCCUGUUAUCUGCCCAGCCAUUGAGGGUAUCACUUGGAUUUAUGUCCCAGCAUUGAGGUUAGGCUAGGUGUUCUGGACAAGGCCUUCUCAGCAGUGGCACCUCUGUUCACUCUUUGGACCUCCUUCCCUCAGGUGGUGCAUUUGUCUCCCUCCCUUUUUUCCCCUUCAAUGGAUGAUAAGCUUUUUACGAUGACUGAGGCUUUCUCUUGUUUUCUCCCACAUGUUUGCUAUGUUUAAUCUGUGAAUGAGGCUAUUGCUAGGUUGUUGUUUUUUAAAUUUGUUUGGUUUUGAUGUUAGUAGUGCUGUAUUUUGUUAUGCACUUUUAACUCCUUGUCUGCUUGCUGUGAGAAAAGUGCAAAUUAAUAUUUGUACUUUUGGCUGAAAAGUACAAAUAAAUAUUAACAUAACAUAUAAAAUUUCCUAUGACAUUUCAGAUACAUGUCGCUUGUAAGAGUUCAUCAUGUCAGUGCAGUCUAGAGCCAGUAAUUUGUUAAUUUGACACAUUUCAGUUGUGCAGUGCAGUAAUCAGUUUAAGCUUUGCCUUGCCAAAUAUAGCUCACUGAGUAUUUUCAGAUUAUGACUUUACCCAGGGUGUUACUACAGGAAAAGACUCCUGCUAUAAAGGUCUCCCUUGACUAAGUGAGCAUCCUGUGAAAGAUGUCACAAUGUUCAUAGUUUCAAUGUAUUAUGUUGAUAUAUCACUCAUCCAUAGGAAUGGCAAAGUUGUUUCCAGAAGGUGAAAUAAUCUGAUAAACAAAGGGAAUUUGCAAAGGCAGCCACUGUGAAAUAUGGGUAUAGCUGGAAUAAAUUAAUCAACAAAGAGCUAUUGGUAUUUAGGUGUUGUGUUGAUGAAGCUUCAGUCCUAUAUCCUUUUACCUACAGUAACUCCAGCUAAACACAUUGGGGCUUACCUCCACAUCAGCGAAUACUUCAUAUAUGAAGAAACUACUAACCUUGUUUUCUGAAGGCAGUACCCCCUUUGAAUUUUUGCCUCCUUAAGGCCUUACUCUGCCUUUAAAAAAACACAACAGCCAGCAACCCUUCUGCUCUGGGCAAAUGUACAAAACCAACAUGAUGAGCAGUUUAUUUUGCUUGUAGACUCACUACUGAGCACUAUAAAGAGCCAUGAAUAUUUAAACACUGGCUGCCUAGUCAUCUUCUGUUUGCAUUCCACUGAACAUUCUACUGAUGUAGCACGCCAACAGGGAUGUUUGCGGGAGCAUAAAAGAGAAUGUGAAAAAUAUAUAUUAAAGCAAUGCGUUUGUUCUAAGAGUAUUCACUCCCGCAGAAGAAAAAGACCAGCCUUUCUUUCAGCCUGCAUGUGUUUUCAGCAACCAGGUUGGCAGUCAAUGCCAUGUCCAAGUUCCAAGUGAAUUUUGAGCAAUUGCAUUUUCUCUCGGUUUCAGGUCACUGAAGUUUUCCCCCCAGCUCCCAAACCCAUGCAAGGCAAAUGAACCUGAGUCUCUGCCAGCUUUAUUUUGGAGCAUAAGUAACCUGGACAUUUCGCCAGCUGUUGCUUAUGCUUUCAUGGGAAUGUUUUAUAUAGUGCAGGUGAUGUGUACAGAUACACAAUAGCUGUUCCUUCUAUGAAAUAUGCAGCAUUAGAUAUCAGAAUCUUGAUUUCAGCCAGGCAUUUAGGGUAUUUUCAGACAUGAGUUUAUUGUGGAAUUGGUGAUGUUCAUGCAUGCAAGAGUAUUGGAGUCUACACAACAUUGUCAUCAAAAUGCCAGCCUAUGCUUUUUUAAUGAUUGUAGGGGAGGAAGCGCUGAGUGACAUAUUGUUUGCCAGUUAGCUCAUGCUGUCUACCUUUCUGGUUUUUUGCCUUAGCAGCAGCUGGCAAAAGCUUCUACAUGAAAGAGAACAGGUUAAUGGUUUGGGAAAGUCAAUAGGAAAGUUUCUUAAGGACAUUCUUAAGGAUAUCAGAAGGAUCAGCUGGCAUUAAAAGCGCCACUGGAUUUAAAAUAUUUAUAUCUCACUUUUCUAGUUAUAUUGUUUCAUACAAUAAAGUGUGGACACUUUCUGUGGUUGCUCCCUGGUCCUAGAAUUGCCUCCCAAAGAAGUUAGUCUAGCCCCAUCCCGGAUAGUUUUUAGGUGGAUAGUAAAAAUUAUGGUUUAUUUUGUCUCGUUUUCAAUGGUUUUAACUUCUCUGCUUUCUUUGCUUUUACCCUUUCUUUGCUCUUAAUUUUUGCUUAAGUGCUUAUAAUUUAUUAAAUGGAUGAAUGGUUUUAUUGUUUUAGCGUCACAAGUAUUGCUUGGUUGGCCCUUGUUUAAGAAUGAAGAGAGGCUUAGAACGCUCUGAGAAAUAUUUUUUUUUUUUAGUGUAGAAAACAUCGCCAAUCAGGAAAAUAGCACCACGUGGCAACCUCAGAAUCAGCAGUGGCAUGUGAGGAGGGUGGAUCGGCAGUGUCACCCUCUCAGUGGCAGUGCUGUGUUCACCAGGAUGAAGAUGGGUGAGAUGGCAUCAAGAUUGGGGUGGUUUCAGGUUGGUGGCAUCUCCAUGGGUGUGGAGGUUCCCCAGAUAAGUAAUGUGUAAAAAAAAAAAAAGCAUAUACUAGGGUAAAAUGUGCAUAAAAAUACAUACAUUAGUGAAAACAACAUACAAAAAUGCAUUAUAUUAAGAAACAUUGCUUUGCAAAAGUGUGUAGGUUAGGAAAAAUUGCAUACCUAUGUGUAUAUUAUGAGAUUGGCAUUUUGAAACGUUGCUAAAUUUUCAUGAAGACUUUUUUUAAGCAAUGCGGAAAAGUGGAGAACUGAACUUAAGACUGGAAAAAUGAAAAACUAAGAGAAUCCAAAAUGAUCAAAUUUUCCUAUCCCUAAAAGUAUGAAAGAAUAUCUGUGUUUGAACAUAUGAAUGAAUCUGAACCUUAUAAAUGAAACUCGAAAUGUAGUCGAAAAGUUGAAUAAAGGAUUAGGGAAUGAAGAUGAAAAGCCUUUAGGACAACCAUUUUUUAAAUGCCCCAGCAAUGGGUGAAUGAGUGUUUUGAGGUUAUUCAGUCAAAAGCUGUCUUUCAUUUUAAAAAAAGCACUCUGUACCUAUUACUUACCUGUGGCAUUAGCUGAUCAAAGAAGCUGUGCAAAGCCAAUGUAAACAUUCUGAUUCCAUAUAGAAAGCACUUGUUAUCAGGGAUGUGUUGGGAUUGGAGUUCAUAGCACAGAGGAUUAUUUAUCCAGUAUGACGAUAAUUUUUCGUUGGCCCACACUGGAUUUUCCAAAGCUGAGAAAUGAAGGUCAGGAAGUAACUCUAUCUGGAGUUAUUUAUAAACCAGGUGCUUGCCACUUAUAAUAGUGACAUUUGACAUGGGGAGUUGUGGUGGGGGCGGCACACCAGUGGUGUGUAUUGAUUACCAGCAGUUUAACAACCGCUUCCUUUCAGGACCUCACCAAAGGGCUAAAAUGUGAGAAAGGGUGAAUUGGGCUGCUGAUACUCAGUGGCAACACUGAUAAAUGUAACUCAUUGAAAAAUGCAAUCUAGACAGACAUGAUCUGCCUAGACUAAAGGCAUCUUUUAUUCACAUCCAAAUAAUCAAAUAGUAACAUUUAUUUUUCUUUCCUUAAACUGGAUUGAUGUCUUGCCCUCAGCUUAAUUAUUUCCUUGGGGCUUUGUGUUUAUGUGAAGUUGUUUGUUGUUUUAAGUUCUAGGCAGAUCAGAACUGUUUAAAUGUGGUCCUAGUCAAAGAUUUUGUUGAGGAUCUUGGAAAGAGCACUGUGUACAUACCUAGCAGGCCAGCUCAAGUAACCGCCUCAUAAAGCUUGUGCCAAAGCUCAUCCCAUAUAAUUUGUUGACACUCAAUAGUGAGCAAUGCCUAUUGCUUUAGCACUGAGGUUCUCAGACUUCAUGCUCCUUCAUGCUACCAUUAGGCAGAGUGAGGUGGCCACUUCAGGCCGCUGAUUUGACUGCUGUGCAAGGGCAGCUAAUUGUUACUUAAAGUAAAGGUAAAGGGACCCCUGACCAUUAGGUCCAGUCGUGACUGACUCUGGGGUUGCGGCGCUCAUCUCGCUUUAUUGGCCGAGGGAGCCAGCAUACAGCUUCCGGGUCAUGUGGCCAGCAUGACUAAGCCACUUCUGGCGAACCAGAGCAGCGCACGGAAACGCCGUUUACCUUCCCACCGGAGCGGUACCUAUUUAUCUACUUGCACUUUGACGUGCUUUCGAACUGCUAGGUUGGCAGGAGCAGGGACUGAACAACAGGAGCUCACCCCGUCACGGGGAUUUGAACCUCUGAUCUUCUGAUCGGCAAGUCCUAGGCUCUGUGGUUUAACCCACAGCACUAUUUACUUAAUAGUUAUAUUUUUACUUCCAGGCAAGGAGAGAGGUACUUGUGGGAUUAUCUACAUCAGGUGCCAAAAUGAACUUGCUGGCUUGGUUGCUCUAUACCUUACUGUUGGGGGGGAGAGGGGGCACCAUUUGCUCUUCUGCCUCAGGCAGUGAAAUGUCUUGGGCCAGCUCUGUCUGAGAAGAGACCAUUGUUCCUGUUUAUACUGUAUCAGCAAUGCUAAAGAGAUAAUUAAAAUGGAUUUCCCUUUCCAAAGUUUAUUUUAUUUCUUAGCUCACUCCUCAUUGGUAGGAGGUCAGGGUACAACAUAAAAUAAGUUAUAAAAUAAAAAAACAGUAAAACAAAAAGAAAAAAUAUGAAAUACACUGUAAAACAAAGACAACUAAGUACAACUAGACAGAUAGGGAGGCUAAAAUAAUUUAAGCAGCGCACAACAUUAUCUGUAUACAUGUGUGUAUGUGUGAGGUUCCAGUUUCUAUCCUCACCCUUCAUUUUUGUGAUGAAUUAAGAUGGCUAUCCUAUCACAAGUAUUUGAUCUGAAAGUAAAGGUAAGUUUUAUUUGUUCUUUUAUGCUUUACCAUAUUGGCUUAUGGCCAAGCCUCAGGCCAUCCUCAUUCUGCUGCUUUUAAAAAACCAUACAAAUGUUGCCUGUCAUGUUAAUACAAUGGGCUGGAGUCAAGCUGCUUUCUAUUUAUAGCUUUCUUGGAACUAAGAAAAUGAGACAAACUGAAAAUAUAUGCUUAAUCACCCCCAGGAAAAGCUACCAUUAUAUUUUUGGUUGCAUAAGCAUACUAGAUUGGAAAAUCUGGGAUCUGUUCAAGACCUUUUGAUCAGAGCUUUGCAAGUGCAGAAAAUUAAAAACACAGACAGAUGGGGAUUAGAGUUGAGCAUCGGGAGAAUAAUUUCCUUUUUUAAUUUUAGUUCCACCCAUGUAUAAAAAGUAUUAACAGCCCAGUUAUGUAACUUGCAUCAAAGCUCAACUAUAUAUGGAACAAUAAUGCUAAAUGUAAUUAAGUCAUUACACAUUCUGUGUUUGUUUUUAUGGAGAGGAGAUUAUUUUCACAUGCAUGAAGAAAAUGCACCAAGCAUCCAGAAAGAUAAACAGAUGGGCCAAAAUCACUCAUCCAAACUUUUUUGGAUGUUGAGUGUUUGGAUACCCAGUGCUUUUUUGUGGGGGUACUCAAGGGUACACAGUACCAGUGCCUUUUUUCUUUCAAAGUUGAAGACGGUUGGGGAAAACCAAUUUUGCAAGAGAUACAAAGAAGAAAGAAACACCUGCUUCUUGUUCCCUUAAGAAACCUCUCAUUUUAAAACAGGAUUUUUUCCUUACAAUUAUGUUGCAUACACAAACAGAACACAACUUACAUGUUCUAAUUCAUCUGAAUUCAGUUUUAAGAAAUGAGAAGUCAUCCAGGAGGAAACGGAGCAUGUAUAUAAAAAUUGUAGCUAAGAAAGCAAGAGUAAGAUGAGGCGAACAGCAACAGAGUUGAAGAUCAGCACACAAAUAAUCCUGGAAACAAAACAACACCCCCCCCCAAAAAAAUCCCCCUGCAAAAUAUUAGAUGCAGAGGGGAAAUAUAACAUUAACAAAGAGAUUGAACUGUGGACAAAACUUUCAGGAACAGGAAAGGACCACAGAAAAGUUGGGGAGAGAGAACUGCUCACAGAAACUUUGAAGGAAUUACCUGGCUUUUUAAAAUAAUAGCAGAUGGCUAUACUAAGGACUAUCAAUUAUACUGCAGUCCUCUGCCCCCACCCUGCCAGCUUAUUUCCUUCUCAUUAGAAUCAAUGUGAGGGAAACUUGUCAUAACUGGAUGGUGAGGAAGGAAAGAUGCAACACCCCCCCCUUCCAUGCAUUUCUCUUUUGCCCUGUUGGUACAAACUGAGCAGAAUACAGGAAAAGGUGCUUUGCCUGCCUUUGGCUCCAUCUCCCCCUUUUUUUGGUAUUGCCCUGCCUGAGUUUUUUCUAAUAAUCUUGCUGAAUCCUUUUACUCUGCAGUCAUUGGUUUUGUGAGAAUUUUCUCCUAAGAUUUUGAAUUGAAUCAAAUUAACUCCAAUUUCAGAGUAGUUACUUGUCUGCCAUGAAGGUCAAGGGACUUUCCCCUUGUGUGUAUCAUAACACUUCAGAGCUGAUUCCUCACACCAUGCUUUCAACCACAUUUAGGUAAUUUUAGACUCUGGACUUAAUCUUACGGGGAUUCCCACCCCCUCCGACUUUAGAUGGUCAUGUGUACUACGUAACUUGCUUCAAAAUGUGGUCAGGCAGUCAUGCUAUGGUUUUUGGAGGCCCUCUUUUUGCUCAUUCUUCUGAGCAGGGGGUCCUGGAACUCUGCCCAAAAGUCCCGCCCUGAUGUCAUCAUCACUGUUCAGUGUUCACAUAGGCAUGAUGGUGGUAGUUUGCCUUUGAGAACAUGAAGGCAAAACUUUUGUGUUGUACCACCAAAAGAUUAAAAAAAUCCAGACAGACAUGUCUAUUUUAGCCUGUUGUAGCCAAAACAGCAAAAGGACUUGUGGCACCUAAAAGACUAGUCAAAUUAUUGUGCCAUAACCUAAGAGAGAAAAAAUAUUGCCUUCAUUUGGGAGCCAGACUUCCCCAACACUCAGCUUCCUGGCUUUGUUUCUUUGAUAGUUUAGAUAAGCAAACACUGAGUGAAUUCUAGACAAGGGCCCUUUGAAGGCCCUUCAAAUAUCAUCGGAGCAGCUCUGGGACUAUCUGUUCUGCAGCUGCAAGUUCCUAGGGAGGAAAUGGAGGGUGAAGCCCAACUGGAACAGGAAACAGAAUGCCUUGCUGCUCUAGAAGAAAGGGCAGGAGCUAGAAUUCCACAGAUCCUGAUGUUUCCCCCAAUGUAAGCAAUGUGAGCAUCUUGAUAGCCACAUAUGUGUGUGCGGAACUAGAUAGUAGUCCAGAAUCAGCAUUUUGGUCUUUGUCCAAGGUCCUGAUCUUUCCUUGCCUUACCUUCCUGUUCCAGGCCUGCAAAUCUCCACCAUGGCUUGGGCUGUCACUUUCCCUUAGUGGUGGACCAAGACCUUCUCCUGUGCUUUCUAGGCGUGGGUCCAAGUGGUUUUUCGUUUGUCCAAUCUUUUUCCUAGGGGAAUCCCGCUGUUUAUCACCAAAUCAGAACAAAUGUCAGUCUGCAGAAAGACCAAUUGAUGUUUGUUCCAAUUCAGUGGUAAGCAGUGGGUUUUCUUGGGAGGAAGUACCCAGACAAGAAGAAUGGAUGAGCCCUUUUAAAUGGGUCUAUUCUGAGUAAAACCUAAUUGAAUACCACCCAUUGCAUGUACAAAGAGCAGAGAGGAAUGAUGUAUAAAACUGGCAGUUGAGAGGAACAAGUCAACUCUCACUGAAUGAGAUGGCAAUGGGGUACAACUAAUAGAUAGCUAAUGUUAGCACAGGGUAACAGAAACUUUCAGAAAACCUGUGGCAGUCUGCUCUCUUUUUGGAAGUACUCUAAAACGGGUGGGCAACCUAAGGCCUGGGGACCAGAUGCGGCCCAAUCACCUUUUCAAUCUGGCCCAUGGACAGUCUGGGAAUCAGCAUGUUUUUACAUGAGUAGAAUGUGUGCUUUUAUUUAAAAUGAAUCUCUGGGUUAUUUGUGGGACAUAGGAAUUCAUUCAUUAUUAUUUUUUCAAAAUAUAGUCCGGCCCACCACAUGGUCUGAGGGACGGUGGACCGGCCCACAGCUGAAAAAGUUUGCUGACCCCUGUUCUAAAACUCUGACAAGGCAGGCCAGGUCAGUGGAAAUAAUGUCAGAGAAACCUGAAGCAAAACUGACAGGCUACAGUUCUUGUUUGUACCAGUAUUGCAAGGGGAGGGGGUUCACCAUUUUAUUAUAAGUUGACAGCCCUUAGCACCAGCUAGGUACCAAUAAGCUUGCCUUUUGUCUAAAAUUAUAUUAUUAUGAAAUAUGCUUUUUGUUUGCUAUGCUACAAACUGCUCUUGAUUUUAUUCUGGGGAUAAAAUGUUCCUUGCAUAAAGAGUCCAUUUGCAUUAAAUCAGUGAGCAUGUACCCAGAAACAUCAAUUAAAGUUAAUAAGAUACUUUCGUAUGGCAUCAGGAAAGGUGGAAUCAUUUAAAAACUGUUAAAACCACUUCCCUCUGGUGCUUAUAGCAGCAGGGUAGCUGUAAUCUCUUGUUUUUCCUUUCCUCCCUUGGAAACAAUAAAAUCCCUUAAAGUUUACCUUUUGAAGCAUUCUUAAAAUACAAUCAUAUUAAUCUUUAGUCAACCCAAAACCAAUCUACAGUUUUUGCUUAUACAGUAAAAUAUCUCUUAUCCUGAAUUCACUAAUCCUUGUUCUGGAUGUUGCAUUAUAUAACUCCCACACAGGUCUGGCCCUACCAUUAGCCUGAGUGAGGUAGCUGCCUCAGACAGCAGAUAGGAGGACUGCAGCCCCACUGAUAUUCCUCCUGUGUCCUUCAGCACCUAAGUUAGCCUGCUGCCCUCAGAUGUAAUGAUGUGCACUAGCCCAUUGCUAGUGUUGAAGUGAGAUUCAGUUGCAGCACCAUCUUGUCCUUUGCCCCAGGCAGUAAAAUGUAUUGAGCUGGUUCUGCUCCCACAAUAACUACCAUGGACAAUUAUAUGUAUACAAACAUGGUAGUGAGUUUCCUACUGCUCAUUUGUUCUCACUUGUUGUCUUUUUUUAACAGACUCACAAGACAUUCACUGUUUUCUUACAGUGCCUGCCAUUUGCUGGAAACUAGCAAAGUUUUACCUAAAAUUAGAAUAAGAUUAUUUCCCAAGAGAUCAAGCAAAUCUCUAUACUGUUCUAAUAACUGACCCAUGUUCCUUCAUAAAAGAAUGUAAGUGAUUUGCCAUUGGAAUGGUUCACACAUAGGUUUUCUUCACCUGAUAGCCCCAUUUAGUGCCAACUACGUGAGAGGGUUCUGAGAAGGCACCCAGGUAACCCUACCCAUGAACACUGACAUGCACAAUAGUAAUAAAGAGUUGACAUCAGACUGAAUGGGGCCCUAUAUGUAUGGACGCAGACAUGUCUGACAGCUUCUAUGGGGAUUUAACCUGGGGUGAAAAGAAGUGUAGGGGGUUAGGAGGUAGGAGGCUAUCCAACAGGUGCAUCACUACUUUAAAGAUUAGAUCAGGAUAUAAAUUUCUUCAACAUGCAGUGACAAUGGCUGUUUAGAUCAAAUGUUUUGGGAUCAGUCCAGUUUUCUUCUCUAAAAAGCUGUUCCCAUCAAGUUGCAAUGAUGGGUUUUCACUUUCACAGUAUGCCCUAAUAGAAGAGAGAGGUGUGUGUGUGUGUGUGUGUGUGUGUGUGUGUGUGUGUGUGUGUUCAGCUGAACAAACUAUUUGGAAGCUAUUAUUCAUACGCUUAACUUCACAGUGGAUUGCAUGCAUGAUUCAGCAGCUAAAAUAGUUCUACUAUCUUCACCUUCAGAUAUUCAUUUUAUUGUUAUUGUUACUGUUAUGGGUUGUUGUUUUUAAUCCUUACUCCUUAGGGCCAAACCUGUUCCUAUUUCAUCACAGCACUAUAAUGAAUUGCGGCAUACAAAGCUUGUCAUACAAUAUGCAGUGCUAGAGCAGAGCAGAGAGAAUCUUUGGGGUAGGUUACCAUAGAAACACUGACGUACUGCCUGGCUAACAGGACAUUGAGUUCUUGAAUGAGAGGCAGUUUAAAAAAAGAAGAAGAAGCUGUUAAAUGGCUGAAAGCCAAUCCAGCUAAACCAUAGCUUUGGAUCUUCCUGCAGAGUACAACUCUAAAAGCUGGGGAGAGGGGGUGGGGUGGGAUGGGGAAACUGCCCUUCACUUUAUAAAGUUAUUACUGUUGGACAGCUGUAUUUUAUAAAUAAGGGAAAGCAGCAGCUCUAGAAAAUAAUUAAACUGCUAAUCAGAACAGAGUCAAGUGAGAGUGCCAGAAACAUGUCAGCACCUGAGGCUGCAAAAUGUCUCAAACCUGCUUUGCUUCUGUCACCAGAUGCAGUGACCCGGCUGCCUUUAUGUCAGUAGAAAUCCAAGCCGCAGGGUUGCAACCCAGUGGCAAAGUCCCCAGGCUGGCCCUGAAAUUAGGCAAGGUAUUUUCCUCAAGUUCUGCAUCUGUAUUUUGAAAUGUGUCAUCCUCUUGUCUGAGGAGGAAGAACCUUCUUGGCUGGAAUACGAUGCCUGGGGGUGAUCACUCAGAAGAAUAAAACAGGACUGCUGUUCUGCUUUCCCCAUGUAUGAAAACUAAAAGAAAAAGUAGGUUUGACAACUUUUUCUAUUGGCUCCCCUUUUGUACCUUUAACAACAGUCUGGCAUACAAGAUUUGAACAGAAAAAGAUUUGAUGGCAUGGUGAUAAAAUGAUGAGAAAAGCUUCAUUUGCUUUAUUUCUGUUAAAAGAGCAGGCCCAAUAAAUUAAAAAAUAUGGCAAACUAAGAAAAUUUAGCCUGGUUCAGAUGUAACCUGGCUAUCUUGGUCCAAGAAACCACGGCUUGUGCCUGCAUAUUCCCUCCUCCACUUUCUUCAUGUGCCAUAAUGCAAAAUUUCUAGUUUGACAGAACACAGUUUCCAGUUAUGCCCCAAGCUGCAAUUUUAAAUGGUUGCAGUACACUUGGGAAUAGUGGAACCACAUGGAGAUAGUCAAUGGCAUGCAUCUUUCUUACACAAACUCUGCCUUCCCUCCCAGCAGGGUGAAGGUUGAAUUGGAUGAGAAAGGCCCAAGUGAUUGGUCACACCCACAUGGUUCUUCAGUGCUGUUGUGUGGCAUCAGGACACUCAGAAGUGCCUUCCCAUCUGAAGGAAGCUUCCAGGUAUUCUAUCUCCUGGUGGCUAGAAUAGCAACUGUAAUACCAAAUCAGUAGUGGGGAAAACAGUUGCUACUGGAAGAGGUGCUUCCUAACCUGGGGGAGUGGCACUAUUCCCUCUCCCAAUUACUGCUGGUGAUCACUGCCUUCAUUGCCUAUCUGGCUUAUGGGUGUUGGGCAUGCUGCAAAUAGCACUCUCAAUACUACCUGUCGGAAAGUUGUUACUUGGAUUAAGAAGUAUUUCACAUUCCUGUUUUUCAUUACAUUGCCAGAUAUUUUUCUGAUUUGUAUCUAGUUUGACAUCACUAUUUCUUACUGGAAAAAUAGUCAAAUAUUAAAUAAUACAUGGUGUGGAGGGAAAGCCACUUUUAUUCAAGUGGCAAUUUGCAUGUGUGAAUGAGCCAUCAGAGAGCAAUCCGCUCAGACAGAACUUUAGUAGUACCCCACAUAAAGCUUUUCAGUGGAGUCAGUUCACACAUAUAGGGCACUUCCAGACUUUCAGAUAUCUGGGUAGUUGAAGUUUCCCAUGACUACUAUAUCUCUCAUUUACAAAGAUAACUUUACUAAUAUUUUGUUCAUUUUGCAUCCUGCUCUUUCUUGUGCAAGUUCAUAACCCUUCAGAGCAGUCAGCAAUAUAUAUAUAUAUAUAUAUUCCACAGUGCAAAUACUUACAAAAUGCUUUUGGUAUGUGCCACAUUGCAAGCACUUUAAAGAUAAUUGCUACUUCAUAAAUAAGAAUAUUCUUCAGAGUCAGAACACAUAGAUUGCUUUCAUCUAGGAACCAUGAAGCAAACCUAGUGAAUGUGCAGCAAAGGCAACUAAGAUUCAGUGCCAGUAAAUAAUGCAAAUUGAGGCAAAUAAUAAUAGCAAUCCUUGAUUUAGUAGGCCUUUAAUUCAAAGGUUUAAAGAACACUAAGUAAUGCUGCCUUGUUUAGGGUUCAACAACUUUUGGCCCUUCAUUUAACAUGAAAGAGGCUGCCUAUAUAUAUAAGGUGGGAAACCAAAUAUGCUCCCUUAAUUCUUCUCUCUAGUUGGAAGGUUAGAACUGAUCUCUCCAAAGCAAAAGCAUCAGGAAAACUCAUUAAAACUCUUGCAUGCUUUUACAAUUAUGCCCAAGCCACCAAAGUCUUUGAAGCAGAAACCACAGCGUAGAGAAGUAUUUUUUUUACUGACACCAAUUUAACAAAAUAAACUAUUAUUUUCCGCCAAGUUUGCUGAAGCAUUGUUAUAUGUGGUGCUUAUUUAAUCCUGGAAGUACAGGAACAGCAAGUUCAGUUAUCUAACUAAAGAAAUAAAAUGAAAAUUGGAGUGGGGUAUGAAAGAGGUGCUUCUGCCUGAUCUCCAAUGUUUGUGUGUGUGUGUUUUAAAAAUAACAACAUAGCAAUGUGAGCCACACUCCCCCCUGUAACAGCUGAAUGCCUUUUUAAAUUAUGUAAAACCACCAGAAGGUUGCCGGUUCGAAUCCCUGCGACAGGGUGAGCUCCCAUUGCUCGGUCCCAGCUCCUGCCAACCUAGCAGUUUGAAAGCACAUCAAAAUGCAAGUAGAUAAAUAGGUACCGCUCCGGCGGGAAGGUAAACGGCGUUUCUGUGCGCUACUCUGGUUUGCCAGAACCGGCUUAGUCAUGCUGGCCACAUGACCCGGAAACUGUCUGCGGACAAACGCCGGCUCCCUCGGCCAGUAAAGCGAGAUGAGCGCCACAACCCCAGAGUUGUUCGCGAUUGGACUUAACAGUCAGGGGUCCCUUUACCUUUUAAAACCACCACAGGGCGGCUUGUGAAUAUUACAUUCAUUUAAUCGAUCCUGAUCUUGAAUACCAGCCUUUGGUUCUGUUUUUAUAACAGUCAAGUCAGAUUAAACAUAUACGCCACAAUUUGUUUUUAAGAUCACCUAAUAUGGAUUUAACACAAUUUAAAUAUCUUCGCAUAGUGAGGAUGGUUAAACUGAGAUUCCCCCCCUCCCCCUCUUUGUCAAAAAUUCUGAUUCAGUAAAACUGGAAUGUUUUUGCAAACAUGAAUGUAAUUUAGAAUGACUUGUUUUCCUGAGAAGGGCCCUGUAACUUUUGAAGAGUUGUACAAAGAGGUAAGCUAGAAAAGGUGGCAGCACUAGGUCCGCCUAGCCCUGCAGUCUCCAAGUCUGAUGUGGGUUUCAUCAGUGAGGCAUGGGCAGUUGCCAGGUUAGUUAUACAACCUCUUGCCUGAUGCUUCACAGAUAAGUUUUUGUGCACAUCUUGCUUGGCCAGAAAGCAACAUGCUAGCUAUGCAAGCAGCACCGUGGCCUGAGAACCAGCUCUGCCACUAAAUCUCAACUGAAGUGUGCCAUAGAUAAUUGCUUCAUCCUGUAGCAACUUGCAUCAAAUGAGUUAGCUGUGAAUGCACACUUGCUAUGUACCUAUACACAGUAACCUAUGGUUUGUUGUCUGCUGUUUUUAAAAUCUGCUUUUCACUGUAUAGUCUUUCUGAAGAAACGUGAGGUCCCCAUUAGUUUGGAAGGAGAGGCAUUGGGAGCCCCAGUUUGCUGAGGCUUACUCAGUUCUAACUUUGAGGCCACUCAAGGAGCUCCAUGCUGAGAUCUCUUACUGAAUAAGAGUUCCUUCUUUGCCUUUCUAUAGCACCAGACCCUCAAUUCGACCUUCCACUCAAGACAAUGGUGAGUGUGAAGACAGAGAAUUUCUAUCAGCUGCUGCAGGGAAAGUGCUGCCAAAGUUGGUGGGAGAAUUUUCUUGCUUCUGCAGAAGGAAGGAAGGAAGCAGAACCUCAUGGUCAAUAGCAGGAGUGAGCACUGCAGGUUAUCUCCUUUGACAUGAACAGGAGGAAAUGUUUUACAAAACAGAGGUGGUCUGUGGAAUAGUAGAUGAUUGGAGUUACAAAAGAUACCUCCCUAGAUAGGCUGGUAGUACCACUCUGUAGGCCUCAUUAUCCUACCAGCCCCCCUCAGGGUGUUCUUCAGUCUUCCAACUAUAGAAAUAAAGUGCAGAAUUCACACAGGCGUGCAGAGCUUUGAAAUUCUCUAUUAUGUGCCUUCAGCAAAAGCAAAUAUUCAGGGAAGCAUUUAUUUAAAGCCAGAAAAUGUCUGGCAGAAGAGAAUACGAUUGAAAUACGACCGCUUUGCAGAACCUGUUGUGGAUUUUGAUUAUAACUUGGAUCUCAUUGACUACUAUAAUCACCCAGACAAAUCUAUACAUGCCAACUCAUAUCUUCACUCCCCACUCCCCAGGUACACCUUUGACAUGGUAUUUAGAAGCAGACAGGUACAUUAUGAAUUUCUUUGCUUUUGAAAAUGCUGUACUGCAUCCUUAUGUGGAAUUUUAUGUAGCAGUUGAUCUACUUUUUUAAACGUAUUCCCAUACCCUCCAUCUUUUCUCCAAUUAAAAUAGGGACAUCCUAUCCCAUAAUGAUAAAUUUCUAUUUAUACCCCACACAUCUUAUUGGGUUGCCCCAGCACUCUGGGCAUCUUCCAGCAUACAUUAAAAAAAUAAUAAAACAUUAAACAUUUAUUAAAUUACAGUGGUGCCUCGCAAGACGAAAUUAAUUCGUUCCGCAAAUUUUUUCGUCUAGCGAAUUUUUCGUCUUGCGAAGCACGAAAUCCCAUAGGAAUGCAUUGAAAAUCAAUUAAUGCGUUCCUAUGGUCAAAAAAAGUCCAAACAAAGCCAAAUUUGGUACAACAAGAGUUUAUUAAGUGCUCUUUAAAGUCACACAUACUGUAAAGAGCAUUUCAAAAUUCAAACCCAGAUUUUUUUAAAAAAACAGCAGAGUUGCCCAAUGGUCACAGAAAAUCAUAAAAAUGCAGAAAAAAACACACAAGCCUCCAGAUUCUUGCAAACCCCUCCCCAACUGUUCCCCCAGCCACCCAGCACACAGAAAUUCAAAUCCAGAAUUUUUUUAAAAAAACAGCAGAGUGGCCCAAUGGUCACAGAAAAUCAUAAAAAUGCAGAAAAAUACACACAAGCUUCCAGAUUAUUGCAUACCCCUCCCCAACUGUUCCCCCAGCCACCCAGCACACAGAAAUUCAAAUCCAGAAUUUUUUUAAAAAAACAGCAGAGUGCCCCAAUGGUCACAGAAAAUCAUAAAAAUGCAGAAAAAAAAACACACAAGCUUCCAGAUUCUUGCAAACCCCUCCCCAACACCAAGUCCUUGAAUUCCAAACACCCCAACCCAAAAUCCAAAACCCCCCAACCCCCCCCAAAAAAUUUUUAAAAGCUUAACUUACCAAAUGGCUGCAAAGAAGUUUUGGAAAAGCUUCAAAAAUCACCAAAGUCUUUAAAAACCUCAAAAAAGGCUACUACUACUACUGCGUUCUAUGAGUUGCUCCUCGAAGUCAAGUCGCAACUGUAUUAAUGGUGUUAAGAAAAAGGAAACAAACUUGCAAGACGUUUUCAUCUUGCGAAGCAAACCCAUAGGGAAAUUCGUCUUGCGAAGCAGCUCAAAAAACGGAAAACCCUUUCGUCUAGCGAGUUUUCCGUCUUGCGAGGCAUUCGUCUUGCGGGGCACCACUGUACUUAUACAGGAUUGCCUGCAGACAGCUCAGGGGUUGGAUAACUCCAUACAAUCCAUCAUUUCUCCAAUGAAAAUAGGGACGUUCUAAGGAAAAGUGGGACAUUCCAUGAUCAAAUCAGAAACCGGAACAGCUUCUCUAAAUCAGGGAUGUCCCUGGAAAAUAGGGACACUUGGAGGGUCUGUACUUGCUAAUAUUUGAUGAACACGAUGAUGAGAGGAAAUAUAUGAUCCAUUGAAAACUUUCAGUACAAUUCAGUGCACGGUUUUUACUUGGGAGGGUAGUUAGAUACAGUAUGUGAGUGGCCUUUGUUGUAAGCAUAAGAACAAAAUAAGUGCCUGCUGGAUGAGGCCAAUGACCCAUCUAGUCCAGCAUCCUGUUCUCACAGUGGCCAACCACAUGCCUGGGGGAAGCCUGCUAGCAGGACAGGAAUGGCACAGCUUUUAAGUGGGGUAAGUAGGAUUGAUUCCUUUCAAAUAUUUUGUAAAAUGAAUAUUUUACUUUGUGCUUGCUGCUGUUGUUAUCUGACUUUAAUGUCUUUGUUAGUUUAUUUUUACUGUGCAUGUCGCUUUAAAGCACUUAAUUACAACAUGUGACUAAAACAACAACUUGGAUGUAAGCCCCUUUCUUCAAUGAAGCUUAAUAUCCUAGUAAGUAUGGACUGCAGGUAAGGUAAAGGUAAAGGGACCCCUGACCAUUAGGUCCAGUCGUGGCCGACUCUGGGGUUGCGGCGCUCAUCUCGCUUUAUUGGCUGAGGGAGCCAGCGUACAGCUUCCGGGUCAUGUGGCCAGCAUGACUAAGCCGCUUCUGGCAAACCAGAGCAGCACACGGAAACACCGUUUACCUUCCCGCCGGAGUGGUACCUAUUUAUCUACUUGCACUUUGACGUGCUUUCAAACUGCUACGUUGGCAGGAGCAGGGACCGAGCAAUGGGAGCUCACCCCGUCGUGGGGAUUCGAACCACUGACCUUCUGAUCAGCAAGUCCUAGGCUCUGUGGUUUAACCCACAGAUGCCCUAAUUUGGAUUGUGAUCACAGCAGAAGGAAAGGGUUAAAAUCCCACCAUCUCCCCUAGGCCUCCUGCCCCAGCUGUUUACUUUUUAAAAGGUCAUUCACACAGUUACAUGAAUGGUGUUGCAUCUAGCUUCGCCCUGUAUUUUGGUGAAAAUAGAAACUCUCAGCAGGGGAUGUUUAUAGGGCAGUCUUAUAGUGUCAUAACCUUUUGGGAAUAAAAUCCAUUCAUGGUGUUGCUUCUAGUAAGAUCAAACACAGGCAUCUGAAGAAGAAUCAGAGUUCAGAAGGGGAAAUCUGAGCAAUACUGCAAAAAAUAAAAAUAAAUCACUGUGUGAGGAAGAAUGAUAUUUAUUGUGUGAAUGAAAUUUGCAAGUGACCUGUCUAAGAAAUUGCUGCUGCCACCAUCCUGUGCUCUGCUUUUAUAGUUGCUUUUUGGAGUGCUGGGCCCAAAGUUGGAACACUGUGCUAGGUUAGGGGGCCUGAUACAUUCUGCACUGCAGGCAAUGAGCUUUAAUAAAUAAAUAACCUCCUGAAAAGCUAUGGUUGUAGUUCAGUGUAUUGCACUGGCAAAUAAUGAGAAACAAAUUUCUAUAUCAAAGAGAUCCAAAAAUAGACCAGGGCCAGGCACAAACACAGUCAUGAAAUUAUUUGUCCUUGAUCUCCUCAGUAUGUCAGAUUCAAAGCCAGGCCUCCUGCUUCCACUCUGGCACCUUAUCCUCUAGACCACAUUGACUCUACAGAAUUGUCCAUAUAAAUUGCUUACAAAUUGUUUGUCUUGCCUCCCCUGCAAAUUUAUAAGCAGGCCACACAAUGUAUUCUUCGAGUUAAAAGGAAAUACCUGCAGAGGCUCCAUGUUCCUUGCUCAGCAGAACAUCAUUCAUUUUGAUUUGGUUAGAACUUUGUGUAGAGGUCGUUUUUAAUUUUAAAAAUAAAAUAAAGAGCUACAGGAGAGCUGUUGAUGCAGGAGAAGUUCAACAAUGAGCAUUCAGCCUCUAAGGAAGUUUUAUUUAAAGUGUACAGUCACAAAAUGGUGUGGGCACAGGGUGAGGUGUCACUCCCAACGUCACCAAAUGGUGGGUAAGCCAUUGUUUUCUAAAUGUUUCUCCACACAGAAAACGUGACAGACGGGUAGAGGCAAUUGGAUUCAUCUCAACUUAGUCCAGCAGACAGUUUAGUUCUGAAAGAUACACCUAGCAAUUUUCACAGUGAUUUCUGUCUGAACCAAAAUUGGCAGCCAUUUCAUAGAACUGCUAUCUGGGUGGGUAUAGUAGGACAAUUAUUGCCUGCACCUAACCACAGAUAUGAAAGGAAAGGAAAGUGGACAUCUAAUUUCCCUGAGAAAUUUUUGUCUCAUCUGUCAUUUUCUGAGUCCCUAGAGAAAAGCAAUGCAUGCCAUAUGAGAGCAUGGGAAAUACUUUGUGCUGUUGUUUUAAAGCCAACCUUUUUGUCCUCUGCAUUUAAAAAAGUGGAACCUAUUUAAAAUGGCAUGGAUAUGUUGCAAGUAUUCAAUUACCUUUGCAGGUCAUUCUCUAAAAAUGGAUUUUAUCCCUAGCAUCAUACCUAUACAUGCUCUGAGUCAGCAUGAGUGGUGUGAGUGACAACUUUUCCCCACAUAAUGGACUGGAGCGGUGGAGAAGGACCUCUCUCUCUCUCUCUCUCUCUCUCUCUCUCUCUCUCUCUGUAUUUGUGUGUGUGUGUGUGGACUAUUCUGCUGUUUCCAGCUUAAAAAUACUAAUUGCUAGAGGAGCACAGCAGGGGAGUGCAUAGUUAGGAAUAGUGAAUCUGACAUCACAGAACAGUAUUUCAUAGACUGUGGGCAUCAAGAGAUUCUUCUCACAGGUCAAUCCUAAAAAGCUGAGCAGAGCCAGCUCUGCCAUUAGUCAGAGUGAGGCAGCUGCCUCAUUCAGCAGAAGCCCCCGAGGCAGCAGCAUCAUGGCUGUGCUGUCUGCCCCACCACCGGUGCAUAAGCGGCACUGGUAUUGGCUGAAAUCACACAAGAUCUUAUAGAGCAUGCAAUAUCUCAUGCAAUUUUGCUGAGAUCUCAUCCAAAGUGGACAAGCUCUCACCCGAAACUGAUGCCGAUGGCAAUGCCUCUUCUCUGCCAGUGGCAGAGGCGGCAGAGGUGACGGGGCAGGCAGAGAAGCGGUGCCAGCAGCUGCAGGUAUGGAAGCACUGGCGGCGGCAGCAGCAGAACAAGGCAGCAAUUCCUGUUUUGCCUCAAGCAGCAAAACAGGAGGUGCCGCCCUGGAUCUGAGCAUCUGCGGUGACAUGAACAGUACUUUGCUCAGUAACAGCAACUGCCUAGGACUGGGAAGGGCAGUGCUGUCCUAGCAACUGGGAUAUUCACUAUUAAGAAGAAAAGCUUUCUCUGAAAGCCCUUUUGGAACUGCAAGAACACCCAAACAAGCAUGCAAUGGGUUUGUGGAGGAAAAUGUUGAUUUAAGCAUGUUAGGUGCUGACUAAUCAAUGGCAGGGCAUCUGGAAAAUACAUUGCAACAUAUGGAAGGGCAAUUCUAAUCCAUGUUAAUGAUUUUGGGUGCUAAGCAUGUAUUAAACAAUGACAGUGAAACAGACCUUCCAAGUGUCCCUAUUUUUCAGGGACGUCCCUGUUAGAGAAGCCGUCCCGGUUUCUGAUUUGAUCCUGGAAUGUCCUGCUUUCCCUUAGGACGUCCCUAUUUUCAUUAGAGAAAUACUGGAGGGUAUGGUAGGAUGCUCCUAUUUUCAAUGGAGAAAGCUGGAGGGUAUGGAGUUAUCCGACCUACGAGCCGUCUGAAGGCAAUCUUGUAUAGGGAAGUUUUUAAUUUUUUUGUUGUUUUAUUAUGUAUUUAUAUAUGUUGGAAACUGCCAAGAGUGGCUGGGGCAACCCAGUAAAAUGUGUGGAGUAUAGCUAGUAAAACUAUUAAUAUGGAAUGGGACGUCCCUGCUUUCAUUGGAGAAAUGUUGGAGGGUAUGGUGAAACAGUGAUGGUAGAGCUAGAGUUGGGGGUGUUUAGUUCAGAUUAGUUCAUACAAAAAUAAUACUGAAAAUCUGCUAGGGAAAUGAUGCUCUGCCUAAGAAACUAAUCUCUCUCCUUCUGCCUGCUCCAUUAGUUACAGGACUAAAUUUGAUAUAAAAUGGGAAAAGAGGGAGGACCUGAGUUUGCAUUGGUUGCUGGGGAAUAAGCAUCCCAUUACCUAUCACAGGUUUAUAGAUGACUCUCACCAUUGUAGCUCAUAUGCUUAUUACUACUCUGGCAAUGCCUGCGAAGUUGCAUUAGGAAGAAUGGCAGUGCAUCAGACACAGUCUUUUUAAAACAUUACUGGAACAUCCUAUCCCUCAAAAUAUAGCUGCAAAAAAUAUCCAUUGUGGAAAGACAUGUGUCUGUGUCAAAUGCUUCUUUAGGGAAGCUAUGCCUCUUGCAGAGCAGCAACACACAUGUGCAAACAGAGGAAGCAGAAAACACACACACACAACCCCCCACUGCUAUUCUUACAAGUGUUCUGUGUCUCUCAGAUGCUGAGGCUGCAGAAACAGUAGAUGGUGCUGUGGGAGUGUUCCUGGAGAUACAAGGGAGUGAUUGUUUUUCAGCUGUAACAAAUGCUGGCAGCUAGGAUGUCCUUCCCACUACAAGUGGGCCUGGUAAUGGAUGGACAUUGGGAUCCCAUGCUUUGAGACAGAUGAUAUAUUUCCAGGUUUCUCCUAGUCCUGAGCAGGCAUGCUGAUCUUCUUUCUAUCUUUCCAUUUUUAGUUUGUGCUGCCAAAAUGAGCACAAUCCAAGCCAACAAUAUAAUCUUCUUCACUGGAUUUUGCAUUGAACAUUUUCCCCCCAUAGCAGGCCUUCCACAUUGUCACUAUUGUGUUUGGGUUGGAAGAUGUUCUCAGUUAUGGAGCAAUGUGGUUUUAAAAAAUACAAACAUGCUAAAAAAUAAACAGUUUCUCUUCUCCACAUGCCACAAGUCCACUUUUUAUGUACCCACUAGCAGUGCAACCUAGUCAUGGCUGAAGUGCAAACACAAAGAUUCCAGAAGGGUUAGAGUUGCCAAUUUUUGUCCUCAAAGAAUCUGCCACCUUGAGGUAAUCACCUCUAAACAUGUCCAGAGUUCGUUUUCUCUAUGGAAAGAAUCUGACCUUGCUUCCAUUGCCAGAAGCUACCUGGUCAUCAGUCAUUAGAUCUGGUAUUCGGUAUCUGUAUUUGUUUGUUGUUAUGUUAUGUAUUUUGUGUUUUUAUAAUGUAAACCGUCCUGUGAUCAUUGGAUGAAGGGUGCUACAUACAUACAUACAUAUAUACACCACUUCUGUUUUCCUGCCCAGGGCAAAGUAGCCACACAACUGCAUUACAGGCCAAGAAGCAGCCUGGAAUAAGAUCAAGAGGCUUGGACUCUCUUUUAGGUGGUUGCUUUGGCUGGUAAACCAAUGUUCACACUUGGUUCACACUUGUUGUAGAAUAAUUAUUUUUAUUUUUACCCUGCCCAUCUGGCUAGGUUUCCCCAGCCACUCAUCAGAUGUGACCUGCAAACAGUAUCAGCCACUUUCAUACUUCUCUUUUUAAUGGUUUGAUCUUAUGUGGUAGCAUCAUGCACAUACAUACACCUUCUGAACACAUAAAUGCCCUAUAUACAAGCACUCAGGUACUCCCCACACAGUGCUUUUGUGUUAAUGUGUUUAUUGUGAUAGCUCAGCUAUAUGUAUCAAUAGGAAAAGUGGAGUGGGGGGAAGGUCUUCUGGAUUUUUUUCUCCAGCUCUGCAUCGUUCAGUUAUGAUAAGAAGAUAAAAUGAUGGCCCAGCUCAAGAAAUUCUAGCCUGCUGGGAACCCUAAAAAAAGAAUGUGAGACUUAACCCCUUAUGAUUCAAACCUCAUUUAUUAAAUAUGUGUUAGCCCUUAUUAGUAUGCUCCCUUCAGUUCUAAUGAUUUAAAAAAAAAACCUCAUGUACUUCAGUUUCAGUUUCAUAGAAUAUAAUCAUAGAGGUGGAGGCAGAAGAGUUUUCUAUCUGAUUUGCAAUAAGUUCUCCCUGUUCUCUGGAUGUGCAAUGCAAACAGGCAAAUCAUUUGGUCACCUACUGACCCAUGAAACACGGGUGCACUUCAAAGAGGAGUGCUGUACUCUGCAAUAAAGAUUAGUUUCAGAGCAGCCAGAAAGAAAGAAAGAACGAAAGAAAGAAAGAAAGAAAGAAAGAAAGAAAGAAAGAAAGAGCAAAGUACAAUGAGUGCAGUGCUCAGGGACAAGUUUGAAUGAAUGUUCUCUUAUACUAUAGCUGGACAUCUCUAAGCACUAAAAGUGCAGGUCAUUUGGAAAUGUUCAUUUUAACACCAAGUCCAACUGUGUCUAGGGUCAUUGCAAGUCAAUAGAAGGGGUCAGGUUUUGGGGGCCCAAGAUGAGCAGGGGCCCCAGGCUCUCAGCUGUCAUUUUUUAAAAAGAGAGUAAGCUGACCAGACGUUUCUCAAGAAAGUUAGUACGCAAACCAUGGAAGCAAGCACUUGGCAGGCAGCACUAUUGCUAAGGACACUUAAUCACUUAGUUGUUGUUGCUAAGCAAUCAGCGAAAGGCACGUUGACCACUCCCAGAGCAGCCCCCCUCCCAGAGCAGCAGAAGCUGAAUGAGGGAGGAUAUUGGGGUAUAUUUCUUUAAGCACUUUCCUCAUGAUGUCCACAUUUGCUCCCCAAGUGUGCUGCCUUUACAGAAUAAAACACAACUGGCAGGUUUUAGUAUGAUUUACUUUAAAGUAAAAAUAAGUGAGGUUGAAAUGAGUUAGGUUUCCUCCCUACUGAUUUUUUUUUUAAGUGACAUCAAAAUCAUCAUCUCCCCCCACCCACAAUUUUCCAUGUUCUCUACACAACCACAAGUGGUCUGCUUGUAAUCACUGGGCUGUUAUUUAUUAAUAUACGGUAACCAUAAAACAAAAAUGCAAAAUGAAUCAGCACAUACAAUCAUAAAAUUAUUAAACACCUUACUGAUGCAACAAAUUAAAACUCCUAGAUUCUGUACUUUAACCCAAGGAUGUCUAUAUUUCUGUACUGAGGUUGGCAAAAUUUUUGUGCAUAUAUAUGUUUCGCUGAGAGUUGUGAAAUUGCACAUACACUUGUUCAGUUUUUGUGUUUUGGAUUUUCCUCCCAGGAGUUCAAGUCUAUGUACAUUGUCUCCCCCCUUCACCAUUUGAUCUUCACAACAACCCUUUAGGGUUGGGUAGGAGAGUUGGCAGUUCAGGCAUCAGAGUUGUAAAACCACACAGAGUACUUUUUGCUUGUUGUUAUUUAAUCAGGGUUCGUUUGGGUAUUUUGCUGUAAAUAUCAGGACUAUGAAAUGUAGUCAAAGGCUGCUUUUCUAGCUUCCUUUACAUCAACUGUGAAUAAUAAUAAUAAUAAUAAUAAUAAUAAUAAUAAUAAUAAUUUAUUAUUUAUACCCUGCCCAUCUGGCUGGGUUUCCCCAGCCACUCUGGGCGGCUUCCAACAAAAUAUUAAAUGACAUUACUUAAGAAUAUAGGAAGAGCCCUGCUGGAUAAAGCCAAUGACCUAUCUAGUCUAGCAACCUGUUCUCUCAAUGGCCAAACCGAUGCCCAUGAAAAACCUGCAACCAGGACCCGAGCAGAAGAACACUCUCCCCUUCUGUGGUUUUAAGCAACUAAUAUUCAGAAGCAUACUGUUCUAACUAUGGAGGCAGAAGCAUAAACAUUGUACCCAUUUGCCACUGAAAGCCUUAUCCUCCAUGAAUUUGUCUUUUAAAUCCACCCAUUUUGGUGGCCCUUACCGCCUCCCAUGGGAGCGUAUUCCAUAGUUCAACUAUGCACUGUGUGCUAUAUAUUUGCUUUUCCGCCCAGGAGCAGAAGGUUGUUCACAUUUCCCUCCCCUCCCCACAUUUCUGUUUGCAACAGCCCUGUGAGGUAGGCUAGGCUAAGUUAAAAAUUGUACAUAAGGAGCAGCCCUUGUCCAUAGAUUGUAAGGGGGUGGGAGCAGAGUAUAAGGUCCCUCAUCCAAAUACAGUAUCAGUAUCAAACUUUAUUUUGGUCACAGACCAGCAUAAGAUAAAACAUACGGAUAAACUGAACACAGAAGACUUAAAACAGGUAAGGAAUAAAAAACCUAGUAAUAAAAAGGUGAUUAGAUCAUACAUACUUAAAAAGAUAGAAACAGGGACAAACAGUUCAAAGUGACUAUAAAGGAGGGAGUGUGAAGGAGCACAGGCCUUGCAUUUUGGGCCUAGUUUGUGGCGCAAACCAUCCUUUGGCGAAUAUCCAUCACGGCAGCACAGAAACUAGCAACUCAGUAUGCAACACCUGUGUUUUCAUCUUGAAGUAACAGGGAGGUAUAGAGUUCUUCUGUGCAACCUGGGAAUUUGUGUAGUAUAGGCAAGAUGAACCUAGCUCGUAUAUCUGUAUAGUAUUGGCAGUGAAAAAAUACAUGUUCUGUUGUUUCCAGUUGCCCAGAGCCACAUGGGUAUUUCCUCUCCUCGUACACUCCAAAUACAGUGUACCAGGCUAGGAAAUCCUGUUGGCAUCCCUGACACUGUCUGUGGUAGGCAUAUUCUUUCGUGCUGGCAGAAGCAGCGCUUGUCGGUUUUCAAUUUGUUAGGCUAAAGUAAACAAAAGCUGCCUUUGUGGCGGAAAAUACUAAAGCUGAGUGUGUUGGGUUAAGAGUUUUAGUUAGAUGUCCAAUGAAUCUGUGAUGAAUUCCUUGGACUGAUUUGUGUGAAUUCAGUGCUCUCAUUUCCAGAAAAGUUACCAGCGUGCAUGUUUAUCAGACCCAUCAUUUGGGCUGUAGCUGCAGGGGAUUUUGCUCUUCUCUUGCUAGACUGAUAGGCUAGGAGGACUGGUAGAGUUAGAGCCAUAAAUAUAAGCAUUGGUGCAGGCUACCCCAACCUGGUGCUCGCCAUAUUUUCUGGAUUCCAACUUCCAGCAUCCCUGACCAUUGGCCAUGUUGGCUAGGACUGAUGGCAGUUGUACUACAAAACAUCUGUAGAGCACCAGGCUGAGGAAAGCUGCAUCAGCAUGUUGAUGUAGAAAAGUAUGAGAUGCCAGUGAAAAGAUAUAAUAAUAAUAAUAAUAAUAAUAAUAAUAAUAAUAAUAAUAGAGAGCCAGUGUGGUGUAGUGGUUAAGCGUGGUAGACUCAUAAUCUGGUGAACCGGGUUCGCAUCUCCGCUCCUCCACAUGCAGCUGCUGGGUGACCUUGGGCCAGUCACACUUCUCUGAAGUCUCUCAGCCUCACUCACCUCACAGAGUGUUUGUUGUGGGGAAGGAAGGGAAAGGAGAAUGUUAGCCGCUUUGAGACUCCUUCGGGUAGUGAUAAAGCGGGAUAUCAAAUCCAAACUCCUCUUCUUCUCUUCUUAAUAAUAGUAAAUUUUAUUAUUUAUACCCCGCCCAUCUGGGUGGGUUUCUCCAGCCACUCUGGGCAGCUUCCAGCAAAAUAUAAAAAUGCAAUAAUUCGUCAAAUAUUAAAAGCUUCUCUAAACAGGGCUGCCUUUAGAUGUCUUCUGAAAGUCAGAUAGUUCUUUAAUUCUUUGACAUCUGAUGGGAGAGCGUUCGACAGGGCGAGUGCCACUACUGAGAAGGCCCUCUGCUUGGUUCCCUGUAACUUUGCUUCUCGCAGUGAGGGAACCGCCAGAAGGUCCUUGGCGCUGGACCUCAGCGUCCAGGCAGAAUGAUGGGGGUGGAGAUGCUCCUUCAGGUAUACUGUGCCGAGGCCAUUUAGGGCUUUAAAGGUAAGCAACAACACUUCAAAUUAUGCCCGGAAACGUACUGGGAGCCAGUGUAGGUCUUUCAGGACCAGUGUUAUGUGGUCCCGGCGGCCACUCCCAGUCACUAAUCUAGCUGCCGCAUUCUGGAUUAUGUGUGGACAACAUGAUUAAAGUGAAAAGGAGCAGAAAUCAUUUGAGAGAAAACUUACUGCUUUGUUUAAACUACUUUUAAAUUGUGUUUAAUUGCCAUGGAGACGUCACUGUUGCAAAUCAAUUACUUUGUGCAUAUGGAGUUGUCUAAGGCUAAAGAGCAGGAAAAAAUAUCCAUGUUUCUCAAGUAGGGCCAGUACUUUCUUCCCCAGCUGUCAAAGUCAUAGGAAAAGGCAGCUGAGGAGAUGUUUUGAAUAAGCAAGCCUAUGACCCCAUCCGCACUAUAUUUUUAAAGCACCAUGGUGCCACUUUAAAUAGCCAUGGCUUGCCCCAAAUAAUUCUAGGCAGUGUAGUUUGUUAAGGGUAUUGAGAGUUGUUAGGAGACCCCUAUUACCCUCAAAGAGUUGCAAUUUCCAGAGUGGUUUAACAAUCCAUUUUCAGAGGGAACUCUGGGAAUUGUAGCUUUGAGAGGGAACCAGGGGUCUCUGAACAACUCUCAGCACCCUUUACAAACCACAGUUCCCAAGAUUCUUUGGGGGAAACCAUGACUGUUGAAAGCAGAAUGAGACUGCAUUAGAUGUUAGAGGUGCAAACAGCUAUUUCAAGUGUAUGCAUGUGAGGGCAUGGGGAGUGGUAGUACAGACAUAUGAUUAUGAUUACCAAAGUACAGCAGAAAGUGCCAUAUGACAAUUACUGCCUCUUCCAUUGCUCAAAAUUUUGGAGUGGUAUUCUCAAUCCUAAAAACUUCCAUGGAUGCAAUGAUAUAUUUUGAGGGUUUUGCACUUGUAAAGUGCAAAGAGAUAUGCCCCGUUCCAUCUUACUUAUUUGCUUAUACAAAAUGCCAGAUGCUAUUUUUCAUACAUGGCAGGGCUGUCUAGCUUACAGAGUGGUUCUGCCUCAGAGGGUAUUUUUGGUGUCCCUCCCAGACUCCUAUAAAUUUGACAGUUUAAAAACUGUUCUGCUGAGGUAUCUCCCACCAUAGUGUUGUAGUGUACCCACUGAGGUGCUUGCAGGGUACAGAACCAACAAAAGUUGGACACCUCUGUGUUGACUUACCUUACACAGAAGCCUCUCCUCUCUUUGGUGCAGCACCACUGCAAGAAGAUCCUAGAGCAGGCAUGGCCAAACUUAGCCCUCCAGAUGUUUUGGGACUACAACUCCCAUCCUCCCCAGCUAACAGGACCAGUGGUCAGGGAUGAUGGGAACUGUAGUCCCAAAACAUCUGGCGGGCCAAGUUUGGCCAUGCCUGUCCUAGAGCAUAUCUUUGGCUGGCUGCCUUCCUAUAUCUCCCCUGCUCACCCACCUGGCUGCUUGUAUGGGGCAUGUGCUGUCUGUAUGUGUGCCUGCAUUCGCCAUGUCCAUCUCUGGCAUGCAGCCUUCGGAGGGGUGGCAAACUCUCUAUGCAACCCUUGGGCCACAAAUAGUGAGCCACCCCACAUAUAUGGCAUUUUUUUUACAAAGCACACUUGAACAUCCCUUCCACUGUUUAUACUUGCGAAUGGCAUUGUUGUGUGAAUCAGACUGAUUAAUCUGUGGAGUAAAAACAUUAAAACUACGGUACUUAAUUCUUUUUAUAGUUUCAUGGCUAAUGUCACAUUUUGUGGCAACAAACUCCAUGCUUGCUGCUUUGUCAGUGACUCAUGGAAGGCUGAGCAGCUUUAGUUUUCCACUUUGCAUGAGCCCUGAUUUUCAGAAGUGGCUGGCAUCCUUUUCUCAACCCUGGGUAUAUAUGUGUGUGCUUUCACUCUUAAAUGUUGGGUCCAGAUAUAUAUAUUUGAAGCAUCUGCUUUGUUUCCUAUUCCCUAGCGAUACUGUGAAAGCUAGUCAUUUUACAAAGUGCCAUGGAGAUGCAUGUAGCUGUCUACAUGAGCUGUACGUCAUCAAAUACGGAGAUGAGUUUUGUUCUUUAUAUGAGUCAUCAUUCCCUUUCUGACCUACUCUUCUAAUUGCUAGUCAUUUAUUCUUUGGGAAUUCAUUAUCCCCGCCAGUAGCUUUUAACAAACAGGCAGCAGCCUGGAGUGGCAGGUAUUUGCCUCUGAGGUACCUGAUGUGUGUGACAAAUUAAAAGUCGUUUAGAAACCUGACAGUACUUUGCCAUGGUUCCACCACCAAAAAUGAUCCUCCAUUCAAGCCUCCUGCAUUUCACAUGUUGUCUUUAUUCCAAGGUCAGCCCAGGGCAAGGCCAUUUAACCGACUGAGAAAAUUCUGAUGCUGAGCAAUGUUCUAGUUAAAUAAGAGGCCUUGGGAAGGGAUUCUCUUGAAGUCCCUUGUCUCUGUCCGUCUGCAUUUCAGUCUCACUAACUGUGGUAUCAGGGCAGUGAUUGGACUGUGUGUGCUGAACAUUGCCAAAGGUCUACACAUCUUCCUUCAUAGGUCUAUUGCUCCCACAUUCCCAUGAAGGAGAAGAUUCCCAAUAUAUGUUUCUUUCAGAGGAAGGAAUACCGGAACUCUUAAUGUUUUCAAUAAACCUUUCUACUAACAAAAGUUACACAGCCGUGGGAAUCAGGCAGAGACUGUUACUGCCCUAGGCAAAAUCAGAGGUUAUCCCCUUGCUUGGAUUCAUACAACCUCAGUUUCCCAUUGCAGUUUUGCUCAUGUCUGCCUCAGCUGCUUCUGUGGGUUCUGUAAGGGCUGCAGUCCUAACCCCACUUAUGUGGGAGUAAGCUCCAUUGAAUUCAGUUGGACUUACUUCUGAGUAGACAUGGCUAGGAUUGCAUUGUUAAGGGCACUUCGAGAUGAAGGCAAUUUAGCAGCACUUUAUCAUUGCUAAUCUGCUUUAAGAUGGAAAUGGAAUAGCAACUUUGCUUCCAAGCUUCUAAUAUGCUGUGGUCAAGUGGCAGGCUCCCUUUCCCUUGCUUGAAAUAUCAGAGGUGACAGUGGAGUAGGGUGAGUUAUUUUCAUUUUAGCCAUUAUAUGUGAGAAAAGAUUAAAUGCUCCCCACCCCAUGAGAAAUGGCCAGCUGAACAACCCAGGAAAUGGCUAGAGCAAUUUAACAAGCUGCAAUAGCAGUACGAGAGGACAUCUAUACCUGAAAAAAUUGCACUGCUAUUCCACUGAGUUUUGUUUUGUCAGAUUUUCUGAACUUGGGGGGGGGGGGGGGGAUCCAGAAGCUGAACUGGGAAAACAUGAGAGUUGGAUGUUUUGUCCCCAAUGUUGUUCUUAUUUCCCCUAAAAGUAAGUGAAUGAAGCCUGGCUAUUCCACAGUAAAUGCCCAGUGUGGAACCAGGCUAAGAAACAGUCGUUUAUUUCACAUAUCUGUGGUUUGAUAAAAGGUGCAGAGGUGUUUGGAAGGUGCUUGUUUCCAAAAUCCUGAAGCUUAUACUGUACUGAGGUUUAUACUGUAAACUGUGAUCCUCAGAUGAAGUGUGGUAUAUAAAUUUAAUAAAUACUAAUACGUAAUAAUAUUCCUCCUUUUUAAAAAGAGUUUGCUGUGUACACCUUUAAAGCACACUCAAAACACUUUCCCUCAGAGAAUUCUGGGUACUAUAGUUUGUUAAAAAGUUGCUGGGAAGUGUAACUGUGAGGGGUAAAUCUCAGGGCCCGGAAUUCUUUGAGGGAAAGAAGAUGCUUUGGAUGUGCUCUAAAGAUACAGUGUGCAUACAUAGCCUUUUUUUUUUUUGGCUGCGCUAUGUGUCCUUCACCAAGUUCCCAGCUGUGUCCUCAUAACUCUGUCAACACAAGGACAUGGUGAUGUAGAGUGAUCCAUGCAAGAGGUUCCAUGUGUUCCAUGGCUAAGGUUUUAUAUGCUCCUGUUGCUGUGCCAUGAUUAACUCUUGGGUGAGAAACCUUGAUCAUGAAGGAAUCCUAACUUCUGAUGAUAUGGGGUAGGAAAAGUUUGCUGUUGUUUUGGGCUUUUUACUGACUCCACCAGGAGUUUUUGAAUUUACAAUCCCUACUUUGCUGACACAGCAUUAGAACAGGGCAGGGGUUACCUUUGAACAGGCAUAGGAUUUCAUCUGAACACGAUUCCAUUUUUGCCACACCUCCGGCUCCACCCAUUGGAGAGGACUGUUUGAUGUAGUGUUCAGUUACAUGACUGAGAAAAUCUGGGUUCAAAUCCCACCUCAGCCAUGAAACAAACUGUGACUCUCUCGGCCUGCCCCACCUUGCAGCAGUCUUGUGAGAAUAAAAGUUGGAGACACACCGCCCUGAGGAAGGGUGAGGUUAAACUAUACCGUAAUAAAUAACACACCCACCCCUCUGCUCUGGUAUUGUGUCACUGCACUCUUCCACUCAUGUAACAUAGGUAAAGGGUAAAGGGACCCCUGACCAUUAGGUCCGGUCGUGGCCGACUCUGGGGUUGCUGCGCUCAUCUCGCUUUAUUGGCCAAGGGAGCUGGCGUACAGCUUCCAGGUUAUGUGGCCAGCAUGACUAAGCUGCUUCUGGUGAACCAGAGCAGCGCACGGAAACGCCGUUUACCUUCCUGCCAGAGCGGUACCUAUUUAUCUACUAGCACUUUGACGUGCUUUCGAACUGCUAGGUUGGCAGGAGCAGGGACUGAGCAACGGGAGCUCACCCCGUCGCGGGGUUUCGAACCGCCGACCUUCUGAUCACCAAGUCCUAGGCUCUGUGGUUUAACUCACAGCGCCACCGGUGUCCUCCUCAUGUAACAUAUUGUCAUGCAAAUGUAGUUUCAAUAUGCAAGCAUCUUUUGUGUUCCACUUUCAAAAGGGAAUGUAGCAGUGAUCCUGUCUCACCCAAGUGAGUAAAGUAUGGAAAGACUGUAGCCCUGUACACAUUUAAACAGCCAUAGUGUCAGGCUGAUAAAUGCCUUGGUGUGAUGCAUUUCCAACAACAAAUGUACUUGGCAAGAUUAAUGCCAAGUACAGCAUGGCUGUUUUCUGCUGUGGUCGUGCUCCAAGAUACACAUCAACCAAGAUCUGACCUCUCUGUUGACUGCCUGUGCAUUGGGUUGUGGGCUUCCUGGUUAAUGAUUGCAGGUGCCCCUUCCCUCCAUUAUGCUAAGGUCAUGGUUAUUCUUCCACUCCCAUUCCUUAUGCUGCAUUCAAAGCACAAGGUGCCUCCAGGGAGAGGUAAAAGGUCAGAGGGCUGGCAUGCCUAAUUGCUACAGCCAGCAGAAUCUGAGAUCUGUGUCCUUGCUGUUUAUCUUUAAUUUCAUCAAGGUUGGCUGAACCAACCUCUAGGCACAUACCCAUGAUUCUUAACAUUGUUCAAAUUAAAGCCUAGGCCAAAAAGAAAAAUAAGUCAGAGGCCCCCUUAGUACUCUCCAAGCACAAAAGGAAAGGCAAAGGUUUUCUCAGCCAAGUGAGCUCUGCUUGUGUGAUGAACAAACAGACCUUGUUCUUUCAUUACACUUGAGAGUAGCCAGUUUGGCUCAUUUCAUUCAAAGAAUCAUACAAAAGCUUGAUUAGGUAUUUCAAGGGUUCAUGUUUCCUCAGACUGCAAUGUUCUUCUGAAGGGAACACACAAGGUCUCUGACAUUAAGCAUUCCCACUGCUGUGUUUGUUUACAACAUCACAGCCCAUGUUCAGUAACUAGUAAAGCCACCUAUUGCACGGGAUCCAAGUGUCUAAGACGGACCUCCUCCUCUAACAACAUCCUCAUUGUCAUUACCUCCUCUUGACUAUAAGAUCCCAGGGUGGAUUACAGCAAUUAACCUGUCCAACAACAACAACUACAACUACAGUCAGAGACUACUAGGUAGCUGGGAAAGGGAAAUUUUGGUCCAGUCCGACCAUGAAGCAGAGUGAAGCAUCUGCCAUAAGCUCUGGGGCCCCUAAACUAGGAUGUUCCUAGAUGCAGUGGAAGUUGAUAUCCUGUCACCAGAGUUGAAGUAAGCUGCCAGUUCAGUUGGAUUCUGUAUGUGGAAUGUAAGAGCCCUAUCUUGGCCUUUUCCUCAGGCAGCAAAACGACGACCCUGUUGUUUUCACAUCCCUUUGUCAUGCUCUCCACAGGGAAACCUACUCAGCACCAAACUUUUAGCUGCCAGGUAAAAACCUGCUUAUUUUAUUUUAUUUUUAAUAAUUUUUUGUUGGUUUUUACACAUAUUUUCCAAUAUAACAUCCUUUUAAACAUCAUUUAGAAAUUUUUGGCUAUCACAGCCUAAGACUUCCUUCAACCUCGACUGAUGGUUUUCUAAAGUCUUUCUAAUUAUGCAUUUUGUUACUAUAAUUAUUGCUAUAAACUCAAAUUUCCAGUACAUCUAUUCUUAAUUCUUUUCACAAUAAUUUAUAAAUUACUCCUUACAAAACUUCUUUUAACCCUACAAGCGAUGUCAAUUGGUAAAAACCUGUUUAUUUACCUUAGCUUUUUUGUAUAUGUUCUGCUGAAGAGAGCACAAUUUACCUUAGCUUUUUAAAAUGGCUGGCAUAACAUAGCCUUUCCUCUGCUGCAGCCAUACUUAGGUGCCCCAUGCCUGCAAUUUGCAGUUGGAGGGCAAUUCAAAUGAGGAUGGUGACAAAAGCAAAAGCUAAAGUCCCUUUCCGCACAUCAUGGUCCUUAUGCAGUUUAUGCCCUCCCUCAUGUACUUUCAUCUUCUUUUUCUUUUUUGCAUGCCAUUUGUUUUUAUACCAGCCACAUUAGGGUCAAAGGCAUUCACAUGUCACAUUUAAUUGGGCCUUGGCUCUUCAUAUUUUCUCACUGUGUUUUUUUAAGCAUCUGGUGUUACGUUAUUGUCUUUGGUCUCUUGUUUUUAAUUCCAAAAUUGGAAGUGGAAUAUAUAUAUAAAUAAAUGUGCAGAUUCAGGAUGUCUUAGGGAAAGCAUAUAGGAUUUUAAAGACAGGUUGAUGCUGGCAAAUUUGGCAUAUCCUUUCCUUUCUCUAAGCAAAAGGUAACAGCAGAACCUCCAUGAUUCUCGAAAUUCCCUUUCAGCCACUUUUGCUGUGUCCCUUUACAUUGCUCCAUGUCAAUACCAUUCAUGUAAGCAGUAUUUGCUUUGCUUCAAGAUCUGAUGGUUUGGAUGUUACCCAAGUCAUUUGGAUAAAUGAGGUUGAAUUGUAUAAGAAUCAUGGCUGUUUCCAAGCUAAAUGUGAGUUUCACAUGGCAAAGCAUUCUCUCUCUCUCUCUCUCUCUCUCUCUCUCUCUCUCUCAUGUUUUUGAGCAUUGAAAACCCUCAUCAAACCUGCCAUUAUAAAUGAGAAGCUUCACAAAUGCAAAAUUAGAAGGUUACAAAAAUAUAUCCUGGAACGAGGAAGGAGAGAGUUUGGGUGAGUCUGCCUACACAACAUACAUUUAAAGCUUAGUUCUUCCCCCAAAGAUUCCUGAGAACUGUAGUUUACUCCUCACAAUUUGCAGUACCCUUAACAAACUAUAUGUCGCAGGAGUCCUUUGAGGAAGCCAUGGGCUUUAAAUAUAUGGUGUAUACUACUGUCCCAACUGAGUGUGCAUAGGACUGCAGCCCUGGGUUUUGGGGUUUUUUGUUGCAAGGUUAGAAGGCCAAAGAAAGAUGAUAAGCUUGGAAUUGGUAUAAGGAAAGACUGCAGGGGAUAGAACUCUACCAGCAAAGAUAAGAGAUGAAACCACAGAUAGGGGAUUAAGCAGCAAAUUGAUCAAGAUUCUGCAGAGGAAAAGAGAUGUCUUAGAUGGAUUUAGCUGGAUAGUAGGUGGAUUUUUAGCAUCCAAUUCUGAGUUGUAGGAAAUGGGACAGUGGCAAAAGAAAGUACAUGAUGUGUUUGUUUAGAGCACAGACAGAUAAAUAGAGAGCUUUCAUCUAACAUGAGGAGGGGGAGACUUUGAAGACAGCUUAAAAUGCUUCACUAUUUAUCCUAAUCACAGGGUGAGUCAGUGAUAAAUUAUGUUUAUCCAGUCCUGUAUUCAGCUUUCUGUAAUAUGGUGAAAGAGCAGCUGAUAAUAUAGUCAUACAGUGGGAGCAGAUUCUUACCCCUCUCUCCAAAAAGGGGCGGGUGGGGAGAAUUGAGUCAGCCAAAAUCAUGUAAUUAUUAUCUGAGGUAAGAAAGAGACAUCAUUUAUUCCCAACCAGUUCUUAAUGCAAAGUUAUACACUGUGUAGAACUGCCCAGUUUUCUCUUAAGAAGCCCGUGCCAACCACUGCUGGGCAAGUGAGGGAACAAAUACAAAGGGAAUAAGGAACUGAAAAAAAUGAAGGUUUAGCUUGACUUGAAAAGUUUGCCAUGACAAAAAAUGAAGAGAGCUCCUUAUCCUUAGGCAGAUGAGCUUGAAGAUUUCAUACAGGUUGAACCUGAAUCUGAAUUUAUACUUAACUAAAGAAAAUGCUUAUCCAGAUGCUAAAGUCCUGAAAGAUAAUAAAAAAUAAAAAAAAUUCCUUCCAGUAGCACCUUAGAGACCAACUAAGUUUGUUAUCGAUAUGAGCUUUCAUGUGCAUGCACAGUGUAUCUGGAAGGAUUUUUUUAUUUUUUAUUUUGUUUUGACUACGGCAGACCAACACGGCUAGCUACCUGUAUCCUGAAAGAUACAUAGCUAUUCCUAACCGCCCUAUGUGUCCAUGUUGCAGAGGAAAAGCAGUAGCCAUUAAGUGAUGGUGUCCAGAAAGAAAUAAGAGUAGGAUGGUGUUUGAAAGUGGGGGAAGGAAAUUGUUUAGUGCACUGUGAAUGGUUAAGGCUAAGGCAGCGAAUGGACGGCCAGCUUCUGAAUUAUAAUAAAGUUGGAGCCAUCUACCAGUAACAGCUUCAUUGUUGUGGAACACAUGCACUGAGGCAUAGCCAGGACGUCCCACACAAAAUCCAAAGGAAGAGGUAACAUUGGCAUGUGGGUUCCCACUCACCCUGUCUCUUCUCCAUUUCUGUUGUCUGUUAGUAUUUCACAAGACUAAUCUAAGAUGGCAACCAGAGGAGGGACUUUCCACUGGUGAUGCCCUGUUCAUGCAAUGCCGUGUAAAAUUGAUAUCCUUCAUGGAAGCCUCCACUUGGAUCAAAGAGCUUCUAGGACUGAUUACAAUUGGGGGGGGGGGAGCAAUGGCUAAAAUGUUUUGAUUUGAAAGACAGUUAAAUUGAUCAUUUAAUCUACUCCUUGAUGGUACCUGAUGAUUGCUUAUUUUUAUUUGUUUAUUACAAAUAUUGUGCAUGUGUGUUUAAAUUCUGUUUUCCCUCUGCGGGGUUAUUGGGUUGUUUUUGUUUUUAUUUUGUGAUUUUAUAUUGUGAUUUUAUCCUGUGAACAGCCCUGAGACUUACGGGUUAUAGGGAGGUAUAUAAAUUCAAUAAUAAAUAAAAUAAAUAAAUAAGCUACUACUGAUGUCAGGGAGUCCACCUUGAGUAUGACUGACCCAUAACAAAUACAUACAUUUUCUCCUCCCCCCCCCACCUUGUAUAUCCCCAUCUUGCCCAGCUGAGUCACUCCUUUUGUUUUAACGAUUUAGGAUUUUAUACUCCAGAAUCAUUGUCUUCUUGCUCUUCCUUAUAAAUGCCAUGAAGCCCCCUAAGUGGCUUGGGGCAAGUUGCUGCCUAUCAGCCUACCCUGCCUCACAGGGUUGUUGUGAGGAUAAAAGAGUUAAAGUGUGCAUGCCACCUUCAGCUCUUUGGACAAAAGGUGGGAUAUAAGUGCAAUACUAAAUUAACUAACUGUAAUCCUAUCUUGCGGGGUCGAAACAUCAUCUGAAGUCAAACACAAUAAGAUCGAUAUUUAUUAUAUUCCUGCAAAAUCUUCUCCUAGUAACCUAGCUGUACUUGCUAUUAACCAUACUUCUUUUACAACUCAUUCUACUGUUUGCAGUUGAAAAUGUAUUAAUUCGAUUCUGGGCAAUCUUUUCUUUCGCACAUUAAUUCUGUUGCAAAGACCUGCUGUUAUUUCUUGUUUAACAUUGCAAAAAUGAAACUAUAUCUGCCUUUUGCUAUAACUACAACUCUAGUUCAAGUGAUUGUUUCUCAUCUUGAUUGGGUUAAUAUUAGGCCUGCUGGUUCCCAACUUUUCAUCUUCCCCUUAUUUCAGCUUUGCUGCUUGUCUGGGCUGCUGUUCUGCUCAUGUGUUAUCUCUUUUUUCUUUUCUUAUUUUGCUUUACUGGCCCCUUUUUUUCCUUUUUCCAUACUUGCUAUAAACUCAUUUUUACCAUUAAGGCCCGUCAUGCUCUUGCGCCUUCCUUGAUUUCUCCUUGUUGUUCCAUCUUGUUCUUCAUGCUUUGUUUAAUCCUAUCUUCAGGCUAAGCCUCCAGCUUUCUAUUGUCACUAUCUUGUUGUCACUGAUCCUGUGGGCCUAAAAUGGUCUUUUAAUAGAUAUAUUGUACAGGUGCAGUAUAAAUAAAAUGUGGCGACAAUCAUGAAAACAAGUUUUCAUUUCUUUAAAAGUGAAACUGUGGCCAGAUAACAUUUGCCUCACCUUUAUUAAAAUUGUGUGGCUAUAUCUGUUGCUAGAUUAAACUGCUUUGAGGAGCAGAUCCAGGUUACACAUACGAAGUUUUCUUACUCCAGGUCAGCUUAUUUAUCCAUCUAGCCCAGUGUUGUCUGUUCUGACUGACAGCAGCAUUCUGGGGUCUAAGGUAGAGGCAUUUCCCCUCAUUUGAUGUUUGAUUCUUUUAAGUAGAAAUGCCAGGGAUGAAACAAGAUUUUAUGCAUGCAAAGCGUAUAUUCUAUCACUGAGUUAUAGUCCCUCGCGAAUCAAUAGACAGGUUGAUUAUCCAAUGCAGUAAGAUAAGAUAAACUUUAAGUAUUGGUAGGAAUUGAGGCGGUAUUGCAGGCUGUGGAAGACACUUAUUCAUUCUGCUGUGUUUAUUCAACCAUGUGAAGAGUGAAUCAGUAACAAACUGUACAAUCUCGGAAAUUCCUUUUGAAAAAGAGACACUUCUGAGCCAUUUCAGCAACUGCUUUCUAUUUUCACUAGGAACUAAGGAGACAUUGAUCUCCAUUUUGUGACCAUUUAUCUGCAUUUUAUGAUCACACAAUGCAGUUUGUGAACACAUAAAAUUCAAGUUCCUAAAAUUUCCAGGCAGGUUUUGUUUCACCUUCAUGACAGUUCUGAAAUAGGUUAGAUCCAUUGAAGUCUAACAAUGGUGGUUUUUUUAAAGGGUUUUGUCAUCUUAAUUGCUUGUUUGUUAUAUCUACUUCCGUUCUCAUGCCUAAGGGAUUUUAUACUUCAUUACAACCCUUUUUAAAGCAGAUAUAUUUUGUGGUAAAGGUAAAGGACCCCCGACAGUUAAGUACAGUCGUAGACGACUCUGGGGUUGCGGCGCUCAUCUCGCUUUACAGGUCGAGAGAGCCAGUGUUUGUCCGCAAACAGUUUUUCCAGGUCAUGUGGCCAGCAUGACUAAGCCGCUUCUGGUGCAAUGGAACACCGAAACCAGAGCAGCACACGGAAACGCCAUUUACCUUCCCGUUGGAGCGGUACUUAUUUAUCUACUUGCACUUUUGGUGUGCUUUCGAUCUGCUAGGUUGGCAGGAGCUGGGACCGAGCAACAGGAGCUCACCCCAUCACAGGGAUUUGAACCUCCGACCUUCUGAUCAGCAAGCCCAAGAGGCUCACGGGUUUAGACCACAGCGCCACCCUCAGCCUAUGUAUUUUGUGGUAGUUUCCAUUGAACUGGGAGAAGCCACCAUUGAGUUGAAUCCAUACUGAGUCGUGCUUAACCUUAACAGCUUAAAAAUAUAUUAAAACAUCAGCCAUCAAAAACUUCCCUAACAGGGCUGCCUUCAGAUGUCUUCUAAAUGUUAUAUAGUUGUUUAUUUCUUUGACAUCUGAUGGAGGGCAUUCCACAGGGCGGGCGCCACUACCGAGAAGGCCCUCUGCUUGGUUCCCUGUAACUUUGCUUCUCACAGUGAGGGAACUGCCAGAAGGCCUCGGAGCUGGACCUCAGUGUCCGGGCUGAACAAUGGGGGUGGAGAUGCUCCUUCAGGCAUACUGGACUGAGGCCGUUUAGGGCUUUAAAGGUCAGCACCAACACUUUCAAUUGUGCCCAGAAACAUACUGGGAGCCCGUGUAGGUCUUUCAAGACCAGUGUUAUGUGGUCUGUCGCCGCUCCCAGUCACCAGUCUAGCUGCCGCAUUCUGGAUUAGUUGGACUUUCUGGGUCGCCUUCAAAGGUAGCUUCACAUAGAGCAUGUUUCAGUAGUCCAAGCAGGAGAUAACUAGAGCAUGCACCACUCUGGUGAGACAGUCCGUGGGCAGAUAGGGUCUCAGCCUGCGUACCAGAUGGAGCUGGUAGACAGCUGCCCUGGACACAGAAUUGACCUGUGCCUCCAUGGACAGCUGUGAGUCCAAACUGACUCCCAGGCUGCACAUCUGCUCCUUCAGGGGCACAGUUACCCCAUUUGGGACCAGGGAGUACCCCACACCUGCCCACCCCGUCUCCCCAAAGCAGUACUUCUGUCUUGUCAGGAUUUAACCUCAACCCGGUAGCCGCCAUCCAUCCUCCAACUGCCUCCAGGCACUCGCACAGGACCUUCACGGCCUUCACUGGUUCCAAUUUGAAAGAGAGGUAGAGCUGGGUAUCAUCUGCAUACUGAUGAACACCCAGCCCAAGCCUCCUGAUUAGAUCUCUUGUUAUGAAAUUCAAGUAAUUGCAGGUAGAUCCAAGUGGGAUAUACCCUUGGAAUGCUGGCAUUGACCAAAUGCAUCCUUGGAAAAAUCAGUGGGCUAACAUCUUCACCUAUGUAUUAUUACAGAAGGGUGAGGGAAAUGCUGUAUAGUCUGAGCACAGGAAGAGGAAUCAGAUCCUCUCUCCUCUUAUCGUUGUUGCUUUCUAUAAGUCCUUCGUCUCCUGUAUGACUUAGUAGAAUAAAUCAUUAGGGAUGUUGACACUUUGCAAGGGUUACUGGGGCUGUAGAGAUGACAUGUGUGCUGAUCUUCCCCUACCAUGCAAUUAUUAAAAGCAGGGUGGCUCCGUUGGGACCAUGAGCUGACAACCAUGUAUAUGAAUGAAGCAUGAGGUUGGUUCAAGUUUUGCUAAUAUCUAGGGAAGAAAUAAUUCAACACCUGAAGCCUGUGACGAGCAUCACCAUGACUGAUCUCUCAACCUUUCCAGAAUGAACACAGGAAGAGCUCUGCUGGAUCACACCAAAGAUCUAGCUAAGCCAGAAUCCUAUUGACUGCAUUGGACAACCAGAUGAGUCCAGUAAACCAACAAGCAAGACAUGUAAGUAACAACCCUUCUCUUCCUAUUUUCCCUCUUCUCCUGUAAUAAUUGGUAUUUGGAGGCAUAAGUUUGCCCUUGAACCUGCAGGUUCCAUUUAGCUUUUCAGCUACUAGCUGUUAACCGGCCUGUUCUCCAUUCAUUUCACUAGUCUCUGUUUGAAGCCAUUUAAGCCAGUGACCCUCACAAUAUCUAGCGGCAGAUGAUUUUGUCAGCUAAUUAUGUGUUGUGCAAAUAUGAAUUUCCAUUUGCCAUCCUAAGUCUAUUGCCAGUCAGGUUCACCAAGUGACCCCAAAUUCUUCUGUUAUGAGAGAGGAAGAAAAAUGAUCUCUUUUCACUUUCUACACACUGCACACUUUUUUUUACAAACCUCUUAUCAGUUAUUAUUGUUGUUUUAUUGAUUUAUCCCCUGCCUUUUUCCAUGACGGACUCAAGGCGGCUUAUAGAUAAAUAGAAACAGCCAAAAAUAUUUGGGAGGGGGAACAAUCAUUUAAAAACAAUUGAAUAGAAUUAAAACUAUAUAUAACUAUAAAAUAUCUAUUAAAAACACACAGGUAGUUACAAUCAAAACAGCACGGCACCAGCCCUUUCUUUAAAAGUGGUCAGUUCCCCAAAGCCUGUUGAAAUAAGAAGGACCUGCCAGCAGAAGGACAAGGAGGGAGCCAGUCUAACUUCUCUAGGGAAGGAGUUCCAAAAUUUGGGAGCCACCACUGAGAAGGCCCUCUCCUGCUUUGACAGUUGGUAUCCUUUUAGGUUAGAAUAGGGCUGCUUUCUUAAAUCAGGUGGUUUCAACUGGCAGCACACUGGUAAUUCAACUCACACCACCAGAUGCAUUCAUGUAGCACUGGUGGAAAAGAAACAGCACCAGCGACAGCUAGCAGUGCUUAUUUGUUACUAUUUUUUCCACCAACUGAAUGAGCUACUGUAACUGCAGAAUACUUAAUGCUAUGCUGCUUUGUGGCACUUCCAAAAAACAACAACCAUACAAAUAAUCCUGGUGCACUCUGCCCUUGUAGGUAAGCCUAACAACUCCAUAAAAGCCAUAUAUUUUCCAAAAUUAGUAAUCACUUAUUGGAGAGGAUGAUUAUAAAGGUCUUUAUUGAUGGAUGAAGAAGUGGCACAGCUACUUUUAGAUAAAUUGUCCCUUCAUUCUGUUGCCAAAAACGUCACUAAUAUUUUAUUAUAAAAUACCUGGUUUGUGUGGACUCCUGAGAUAACAUAGUAUAUUAAGAACUUGACAAAUGAAAAGUCUUUCCCAUAUGCCACAGUUUGUCAUUAGUGGCAUUAGUAAUUAUUAUCAUGGAUGGUAACAUAAGCACACACUUCAUGUAGUCCAACAGUCAUAGAGGCAUGCUGAAAGCUUGAAAAAGUACUGGUAUUAAUUAAACUUGGAUGACUACGUUAUGUACUGCCAUUUUCCCUCCACAUGAUUGACACCUGUGUUCACCAGAAAGACUGUCCAAGGACCACAGCUGAUAUAUUAUUACUGAAAAGAAUAGCUAUCAUGAUUAAUCACAUAGAUGAAUAACAAUGAUGAAAUAUCACCAGAUAAAAUGUGGUUAUCAUAGCAUGUGUGAAAUUAAAGUAGUUGACUUGAAGUUAACAAUUUAUGUACUUCCUUUGGGUGUUCAGUGUUACAUUAUUAUUAUUUUUAAAGUACUCUCCCUUUUCUGUAAUACAACAUUGGCUUUUCUUCCAUAAAGAGGUCAAAAUGUAUUGCUCAGCCCACUUUAUACAAUGGGAGCAAUUGUCAAGGUGUUCACAGUACACUAUUGCUCCUGACUGUGAGGUGUUUUGAAAGACCAAAAGAUAUCUGGGAAACCAGGUAGGAAAGGGUAGCUAAUAAACUUCAAGAAAAGAGCUGUGGCUCAGUGUUUAAGACAAAAAAAAAUGUUUUGCAUGCAGAAGGUCACAGGUUCAAGCCCCAGUGAGGAAAUAGACAUGGCUGAGUCCUUGAGAGCUCCAAUAUUUAUAGUACUACAAUCCUCUGGUUUGAUAUAAGGUGGCUGCAUAUUUCCAUAGUAUGGGAGUUCAGAGAUAUGAAAAUCCAAGUGACAGAUCAUAGGCUGCCUCUAGUAAGUUCAGUUAUAUCAUACUUAUUGCCCACUAGACAAGAAAUAGUUGGAAUUAACAUUUUAAAAGGGCUACAUGGGUAGCUCAUUGGCUGACCCUGCACCAGUCAUUCUCUUUUGGUUCGCUUAACCUGCAUCAAAGUGUUGAUGUAACAAAAUGGUGGAAGAGGAAAGAACCUUAUAUGCCGCCUUCAGCACCUUGGAGGUAGGGUGGUAUAAAAAUUGGGAAAUUUCCAGAAUCGUUAUAUUCAUAUGCAAAUUUAAACAAAUGUAAUUGAUUAAGGCUCAAAUCUUAACUCUGCUUAAUAGAGAAUAAGUGUCAUUGAAGACAGUGGGACAUAUCUGAGUAGACUUGCCCUGCACAAUUUCUUUGAUUAAGCAACUAAGAUAAUUGAUGACAGCCCUGAUUAUUUUCUUCUUUCUUUUCUGUCAAACUUUAGUUCCUAAGAUCUUGGGAAGAGGGACCUUUUUUGCUUUAACGUAUGGUAUAAAACAAGGAUAGGGAACCUGUGGCCCUCCAGAUGUUGUUGGACUUCAACUCCCAUCAUCCCAUUGGCUGUGCUGGCUGGGGCACAUGGGAGUUGGGAGUCUAACUACAGGUUUCCAUCCCUGCUAUGUAGCAGGCACCUGGAUGCCUGGUGACCCACCAGCCCUACUAAUUCUGCUAUGUGCAGUUCAGCUUGAAGUUUUGUAUUUAGGAAGUCCUGAUGCUGCUCAGGGACACAACACAUGCCUUGCAUGCAAAAGGUCCCAUAUUCAGUGCCCAGCAUCUCUAGGUAGGGCUAGGAAAGAGCUGAAACCUUGAACAGUCACUAUCAGUCUGUGUGCAAACAAUGUUUAUUUCAGAAAUGUAUUUCCCAUUUUCUCCUCCUAGAGGAGCCACUCAGAGCAACUUACGAAAUAUAAAAACAAGCACAAAAAUAAAAACAAGAAUUCAACAUUAGAACAAAUUACCAACAACAAACAAGACUAAAAGCAUCAUCAGAGAACACAGGGGCUAGAGCUAAAAGCAAGCAAGCAGGCAAGCAAGAUACAGCAGAGUCAAAGGCUUCAAAGGCUGGCAGAGCACAAGAGAAAAAUAAGCUAAUUUCUUAAGGCAGGGAAUUCAAUGUGCAGGGUGCUGCUAUAGAGAAAGCCCUUUCAUGCAUUGCCACCCCACCAACUGUAACUCAGAAAGCAAAUGGAUGACACAACAGGGCUAUGUUCUCUGAAUACUGGUUGCUGGGAAAUCACAAGCAGGGAGAGCAAGGUUGUGCUAAGGUCCUGCUUGUGGGCUUCCCACAGGCAUCUGGUAGCCAUUGUGAGAACAGAAUGCUGGACUGUAUGAGCUUGAUCCAGCAGGCCUUUUAUAAGUGACACAUUCACCUUGGAGCAGACAGUCUUUCAAGUAGCUUGGGCUGAAGCUAUUUAGGAAUUCAAAGGUAAUUACUGAGCCAGGUGGACCAGUGGUCUGACCCAGUAUAAGGCAGCUUCCUAUGUAACACCAGCGUUGGCUUUUUUAAUUUACAAAAGGAAACUUUUAAAAGUUGUACAAUAUAUUAUAUGGUUAUCCAAAGGAACUCACAGCUAUACAUCUCCUUCCUGUCCCCAUUUUAUCACCACAACAAUCUUGUGAGGUUAGGCUGAGAUAAAAGGAGGUUCCAACAACCCCACCCCCUGUAUUCAAGGAUUGUGUGAGGUGGGGUUGUGGGGCAACGCAGGCUAGUCUCAUCACUACCACACCCAGCAGCCGUGCCCCUUCCCUGCCACCCACACAUUUGGCAUGCAUGCACAUAGAGAUCCUUCAUGCAAACAUUGUGUGUGCACACAUAUAACCUGGCAUGUGCCCCACAACCCACUUACACUUUCCUUGAACGCAUGGCUUCCCACACCCCACCACUACCAACAGCACCAUAUAAACUCCCCAAUAGUGGCUGGCCAAAUCCUGUGAGCUCCCUGGCUGGAUUAGGCGGCCUUGUCUAAUAUUUUAACCAUUUAAGAAUGCUGGCCUCAUUUUUAUGCUUAGGACAUGUUUGCUUGCCUAUGUACCCCUUCCAACGGAAGCAGUUUUACAAUCCCCCCUCCCUUUUCUUAAAAACAUAUGGGUGACCACUAGUUUUCACAGGAGCACCACUCGUUUUAGGAGAGUUGUGCUUUAAAUAUAUUUUUUUCUUGAAUUACUCUGAGGCCAGCUAUCCUGGAGGGGGGGCUGUUUGCUCUCCCUGCCUCCUUCCACCACGUGCCCCCAGUUAAGUGCGUCCUUUGACGUUGCUGAAGCAGGUAAGUGAGGCAAUGGCUUGCUGCGCUCCAGUCACGGUUAUUUUCUUUCACAGUAACCUCCAUUAACUUAUUCGCCGCCACCCCCCUCCCAAAAAACCCGACUUUGACGUAUUCCUCCUGGAUACUGAGUGACCAAUCAAGCAGUGACAGAGGAGGGAAUGUAGCCAAUGGGUCAUCGUUGCUACCUGUGGGCAAUAUUUUUAG